GUGGUCAUGGUCGCGGGGGCGCUUUCGUCUAAAAUUGUCAUGAUUGUCGCGCCGCCUAUCCCAACCUUCCCUGUGAUCACGGUUGUCGGGACGGCGGUGGCUCCUGUUGUCGAAACGACCGCGAUUAUCAUCUCGCCGGGGAGGCUGGUCGGGACCUCUCGCAUCAUCUCGAAUAAGUUUUUCUGCGUCGUCGGCGUCGGCGUAAUUUUUAGCCGUGGCGAGGAGCUCGGCCACCGUUGUUGGCCUUUUGCACAGCAGCUUGUUCCUCAGUGCUUCAAGGAAGCGCAGCCCCUUGAUGAAAGCAGAUAUGACCUCGUCAUGGGAAAUCUUCGGGAUCUUAAGGCGCAUAUCCGAGAAUCGUCGGAUGUAAUCGCGCAAAGGCUCAUUUUUCCUGUCCCUUAUCCUUUCGAGGUCGUACUUGUUUCCAGGCUGCUCGCACGUGGCGAUGAAGUUGUCGAUGAAAGCCUGACGCAGCUCCUCCCAAGUGUCGAAGGAGUCCUCGGGCAGGCCAAGGAGCCACUGGUGACCAGCCUGGUCGAGGACUACUAGGAAGUAGUUGGCCAUGACGUGCUCGUCUCCUGCUGCUGAUCGGACGGCGAUCUCAUAAAGAGUGAUCCAGUUUUCCAGAUUUUCCUUGUCGUCAUAUUUUUUGAUUUUCUCGAGCUUGAAGUUGCGGGGCCACACGACCUGGCAGAGGUGUGAGGAGAACUGCCUCAGGUCCGGGGGGCCAUGUGUUGCGUCAUAUUCGAUACGAUGCAGGUUUUCGUGAACUGCUCUAUCCGUGGCGCGCCUGUUGAUGCGGUCUCGGGCGUCUUUGGGAGGGAUGUUGUAUCGAAGGUCCCUGUGCUGGUUUACUUCCUGACCACGCCCAUGAUUCUGCUCGUGGCGACCGCCAGCAUCCCGACUGCCAUCGCCAUGCCGUGAGUCUUUUCGAUGAUUGUCGGGGGAACGGCUGCGGUGGUGCCUGCUGGGCUGCGGUGAGGUCCGGCUGCGGUGAGUCUGGUCGGAGGUAGCCUCCGUAUAGGAGACGGGUUGGACUCUUUUGUGCAGAGUGGCUGUCUGUCCCAUUGCGGCGAUCAGAUGUGCUCGAAUGCUGGUUCGGACGCCCUGGCACUCGGCAGUAUCAGGGAGCCGAUCUAAGUUGGCCUUGGCGACAACCACGUUGGCGCUUGGCGUUUUGUAAACUGGCUGAUCCCCGACCAUGUCGAAACCGUCGCUGAGAUUAUGCGGCGGGAUUUGACGUUCCUCGUCUGCGCGUCGUCGCGCGCGAUCGGCGUUACGCUGCUCGCGGAGGUGCCUCUGUUCGUCUGUUUCUCCAUCGACGACCGGCUCGUUGGCGCUGACAUUGAAAACAAUGUCUCCUCGGCACGGCGGGAAGACCGGGAAACGAGGGAAGCCCGGGGGAUGUGAAGGCAAAUCCAGGUCGUAGUCCUCGUCUUCGGAGUUUAUGACCUCGGCUGGGACGGAACCAGUGCUCGAUUUUGUGCUGGAAGCCAGGCCGUCCCGUAGUUCUCGGAUCGUCACCAUGUUAACGUAGUGACGAGUCGGUCGACCGUUCCGUUUUGGCAGCCAACCCGCCUUGUUGAAAAGGGAUUGGACGUGCCGUGAGUAGAGAGAGGCAGAGUUGUUCAGACCGCAAGGGUAAUCCUCCUCCGGGUUAGCUUCGAGCCUGACGAAUCGUCCUGAGGGAGUUGAUGUUAUUGUCAGAGACGUUCUCAGCCGUUCGUGUGUAAUGACACGAGUUGGCCGGUGGGAGUUGAAAAAAUCCGCUAGAGCGGCUUGAUCAGGCUGACGCAAGAUCCCAUCUACUAGUUGGGAAGCUUCGAGUAUCUUGGAAUCAGCGCGAUCAAGUGCUUGGAGAAGAUCCGAGCAGUCGAUCUCCUUCCCCUUGUAGCGUGGGAGUGGUGGUCGAGCGCUCGGUGCCGUCAUCCGAGUUGUCGGAGGCGACGUCACCCCAGAUUAGAUCUGGGUUUCUUCCGAAACCGUGGUCGUGGGACCACCGCCGCACGUCGUCCACGUGAUCUGGCCGAUAGUGAACGUGAGGCCUUCAGGCACGGCUGCGGAAGCUGGAACUAUGACCAUCUUGUUCGUCGGGAGAGCUGUACGCACACCACCUACCUGGCACGCCACUGUCGAUGAAAGCUAGUCAGCAGUCUACCUUGGGGUAUACCCACGGUAGUAGUUUGUCGGUAGACGGUGCGCAAACUACGAACUCGAUGGUGACGCAAGACACGGGCAAGCUUUUUAUCUAGGUUCGGCCGCCGAGUUGGCGUAAUACCUACGUCCUGCGUCUGGUUGUAUUGAUUUGUGUUUAGAGAAUCACCUGUCCUAGGGGGGUCCCUUGCCCCUCCUUAUAUAGUCCGGAGGGCAGGGUUAUAGAUAAGGAAACUAAUCCUAGUCGGUUACAAUUGCCAUAGAUAGUUCGAUAUCAAUUCCUAUUCUAACCGACUAGAAUCUUGCUUGAUCUCCACGUCUUGUUUCCUUGCACGAAACUCCAAGCUGUCGGAUCAAGCCUUGAGCUUGUCUCGUAAUGGGCCAAGCCUCCUGGCCCAAAUCUAGCCGUAAGGGUAUAGGGGUUUAUACCCCCACAGCGAGGUUGUUCCGGCGAUCCUGUUCGCGUCCAGGGAGAAGAAGCGAGCGCAUGAGCAACUGGAGCACGAAAAGAACUUGAAACGGCCGCUAGAGAGGUGUGAUACCGACUGGAACACCGUGGCCACGGGAAGAGCUCCACGGCGGCGGUCCCGGCCGGAAUUGGAGAAGACAGAGAAGCUCCGGCGAUUGAGCUGGUCAGAGAAAGAGCGAGGGGGUGCGCUGAGCUCGCAAGGAGGUGGCGAAUGCUCUGGGUUGCUCAAUUUGGCUUGAGAGAGAUUGGGUGCGACGAAUUUGAGAGAAAAGCUCGUCGGGGUUCCUUGGUUGUGGACAGGGAAAUCGGGCGGCGUCGCCCACGCUGGCGCUCAAAGGGGAGGAGGAAGCGAGCCCGGGGCGUCCACGUCGCCUGGCGGCGCAGGCAGGCAAGCAGGCUGCGUGCCUGCACGCGCGCGGCGGCCGUGCUGGACAGGGGGCCGGUGAUCCUCAUCGGAUCACUAUAGCUGACCCUUAUCCCCUCUUCUCUGUCCCUUUGCAAAAUUCGGCCAAAACUUGAACUCAAGCCAAAUUGCCACCAAAAUGAAAGUUGUGUAAAAUUUUAUAAGCUAGAAAUCAUAUUUUGGUGACCAGAGCUAAUUCUGAGUGGAACAUGGUGAAUUUGUCAAAACAGUUUGCAAUUCAAAUCCUAAUUCAAGGAAAUUCAAAUUUUUGAAUUGGGGACAAAACAGAGUUUCCAAAAUUACUUUUGAUUUUCCAUAGCAACUUGAAAAACUCCCAACAUGACAGUUGUUCAAAUUUUUGAGCUCUACAACUUUCAUGUUGGUCACUUUUCAAAAUUCCAAGUAGAUUUUGAAUUGGAGAUUCAAAUUGAAAAGGGGACACUUUCUGGAAAUUUGUAUUUUCAAAAUUACUUUGAAUUUUGUAUUGAAACUUCAAAAACUCAAAACACCAAAGUUGUACAUCUCAACGAGAUCUACAACUUUGCUUUUGAACUCAACCUCAAAUUUUGCUUGGUUUUUAAAUUGUGCAAAAGGGGGCAAUUCUAGGGUUCAAAAAUCAGGGUUUUCCCCCCUAAUCUUUCGGAAAUCUUUCACCCUAGGGUUUUAGCAACCAACACAAGCAUCCAAACACAAUAUAAACACACUUUAAUUCCCUAAGCACAUUCAUCCAAAUUAAACUUAUUUCAAGUUAAUGCAUCAGGGUGUGCUUAACAAAUAUGUGGUGCAAUGUUGAUGAUGACAUGAUCCAAAUUUUAGUAACCGUAACGUCAGGGAUGUUACAGUGUCCGAAGUAGAAUUAGGGGUACAAAGAUACCCACCUGAGUGGAAAGAAUGGACAUGUGUCCAACAGUGGAAUUAGGGGUACUUGCUGCCCAUUUGAAAAAAAAGAGAGAAAAAAGAAAAAAAUGAUAGCCCAUGGUCCCUCUAAUAAGCUACAUGCCAGUAAGAGAUGACAAACUUUUCAAAAAGGUCAAAGGUCUUCAUCUAGGAGUAUGACAUUCCUCUCCCUGGCUCCGAGCAUUGACAUAGAAAAAUGCAAAGUAAGUAUGCUAAAACUUUUAAAGCUCUACUUAUAUAUCUUUCGAGAAGAAAGCAAAUGCCUCAGUUUUAAUUUGCAGACUUAUAAAAAACUCCAGAACAAAGGUAAGACAGAAGAACUUGAGACAUAGUGCUUGACUUGAUCAUUCUGUUUUUCAAUCACUUAAGACCUUAGUGAUAACUUAAAAACCCCAUAGUAAAAGGCAUAAAAGUAACCCCUAUUUUCUUGAUGAUUUUAGCUUUGCUCAGGGACGAGCAAAGGUUAAGCUUGGGGGAGCUUGUUGACGGUCCUUCAUGCACACAUUUAACCAUCAACUAAUCAUGCAAAGGGACUUAUAUGCAACCAACACCUAGACUUAGGGUUUCAUCUGACAAAAUUCCACGAGUUUUGGUGUUUGUCUAUUUCUGCAGGGGGUUAUCAGGAAAUAUGGAAGAAAGGCCCACAUGUCGGGAUUACAUAGAGAUAUUAACGUGCCGCGCAAUUUUCUACCAUCUAGAAGACUCCAGAAGCCACGGGAACAAACGGGAAGGCGAUCGGGCUCGGAGGCAGGGCGCCCGCCCUACUCUCUUGGGCGCUCGCCCUGCUACAGUGCCCAAUCAGAGUCGUUUUCGCGGAUCGUGCUCCACCAACCUAAGGGAUCAUGGAAAAUCGUGCGAUUAAUGUCGGUUUGAUCCAACGGCCCAGAUUCACUUGAGGGGACUAUAUAAGCAGACCCCCUGGCCCCUGGAGAACAUACCUCUUCUACAGAAUCAAAGUUAGGGUUUCAAUUCUUCAUCCAAGUAGAGAGGAUCCCUCUAGUUCAUCUAGUUCUACCUCUAGUUCAUCUAGUUCUAGUUCUAGUUCAUCUAGUUCUAGUUCCUCUAGUUCUAGUUCUAGUUAGUUCUAGUUGUAAUCUAGAAAAUAGGGAGGGAGAAGAGGAGAGCGGAGGAGGAGGAGCCGGAUCUGUCGGAUCUUCCUCAACAUUGUACUUUUGCAGCAACUGGUUCGUUCUUCAUCGUUCUCCAGGUUCUUCAAUCCAUAAUUCCUGAGUUCUUUAAUUACUUUUAUUUACAUUCAAGUUAUUUAUUGGAUUCCCGCUUGCAUCAAGUGCUAUAAUCUUUGCAACAUUAGAGUAGUAAUUAAUAGAUUAGACGUCGUGUUUAGUCUUGCAAUUACCUAGAAUUGCACCCAAUCCUGCGGAUUGUUGUGGUAGCCCUAGGGUAGUGACAGCCCUAACGGUCGACGUAUUCCACCUCGUUCGGAUCGGUGUUUGUAGGACCGUAGUUAGAGCUUCCUAGCCCCCUCCUCAUCUCUUUCUGUGGUUAGUGUUCUGAUGUCCCGAAAUAAAUAAUCUUUGAAGUAAUUCUUGAUUCUUAGAUCAACUAGAGAACUCUCUGGAAACUUCCUCUCUUCCCACCAAAAAAUAUUCUAUAGUUAUCCUUGGGCAAUCUUGAAUCUUAAUUAGUACACUCACGUUCCCUGUGGAAAAUCGAUACUCUGGAAUACUCUCGGGUGAAAGCUACAUCGGUAUCCGUGCGCUUGCGGAUUUUUCUGCUUGCGUUUAAAAUACCCAAUAGACACCAUCAACAAGAAGUGACCAUUGCCAUCUACUAAAGUUGUCAAGCUGACAGAAGAAUGUAGCGCAGCUAUACUCAAUGAGCUGCCCGAGAAGAAGCAGGAUCUUGGGUGCCCCACAAUCUCUUGCUCAAUUGGGGCCCAGCAAUUCGACUACGCCCUAUGUGAUUUGGGGGCGAGUGUGAGCAUCAUGCCGAAAUCAGUCUUUGAUAGGACGAACAUCACCAACUUGGAGCCAACCACCAUGACACUCCAGUUGGCAGACUCGUCAGUCCGGUACCCGGCAGGGAUUGCUCAAGACAUCCUUGUCAAGAUCAGAGGAUACUAUGUUCUAGUGGAUUUUGUGGUGCUCGACAUGGAGCUCACUAAAGAACAUCUUGCUUGAUUUGCAGUGCUCAAGGUGAACGCCAAGAAGCACCUGGACGAGCUGGUCAAGGAUCGGGACUCCUGGAAGGUCAAUUGUUGUAAGAUCUGGAAAGGAGUGUCCCCGGUCCUGGACUUGAUCAGCCCCGAGCUACCAGAGAGCCAGCCCCACGCGCCGAGAUUGACGCCAGUUGAAAAGGCGCAACGGGCGUGGGACUGGCUUCAGCAGUUCGUGAAGGACGCCGGGGAGUUUGCUGGCGCGCAUAUCCUUAGCAUGGUGCGUGCCCAUUACCCCCUGGUCGACUUGACCAGGCUGGAGAAGGGGUAUCCCAAGGAGGUCGGCCCGCAGGAGGCGGACGAGCUUCGGGGUGGUCUGCUGGACUUGUCGUCGACGGUGAUCGGCGACAUCAAUCUAUGCGGAACGGCCACUCCCCCCGAUCAGCCGGGUUCAGAUAGGUCGGCCAGGGAGCUGUCGGGCGCGUCUGCUGCGGGAGAUGGGCGGUCGACGCCUGCGGUCUCGACCAGCCAGGCGCCGGUGGCCCCGACCCCUUCGUCCGGGCAGCAAGGCCAGGCGGGUGAUCAGCCCGAGAAGUAGGCCAGUAGGAUAGUCUGUAGGAGUAGACUAGUGUCCGCCCGUCAGGGUGUUUAUUGUAAACUUUGUAUGUAAAGUUUGUAAUAAAGUUUGCUUAUGUCAUGACUACUAUUUUGAGUGCUGUACAGCUAUCUGAGUGACGUGCCACUGCAUUUGAUUUCGUAGUCGCUAAGAGUUUCCAUCGCAGAUGACUUUCCGGAUUCUGCGUGAAACAAAGUGUAGGCAAAAAGGAAAACUUUUUUUACUGACAGCCAUAAGACAUUUACAAGCAAAAGUUACUAGAACUUAUGGAUAAAAUCGGUGCAGUUUGUCGAUGUGCCAAGAGUUAGGCACGCGUGUUCCGUCUGGGUAUGCCAAUCUGUAGGAUGUAGGUCGUGUGACUUCGGCGACCACGAAGGGUCCUUCCCAGGGGGUGGAUAGCUUGUGCAUUCCCUCUUGGCUUGUUUUCCACCUAAGUACCAGAUCACCGACCACAAAAGAUCGGUCCUUGACGUUCCUGUUAUGGUACCGCCUGACUGCCGCAAGAUACUUUGCCGUUCGGAGACAAGAACUUAGACGCUUUUCCUCCAUGCAGUUGAUUUCAAGUUCUCUGGCGUUGUCGGCUGUUGAUUGGUCGAAGUUUUCAAUCCUAGGAGAACCGAAGGUUAUGUCAGACGGCAGGACUGCCUCAGUGCCGUAAACCAUGAAGUAGGGUGACACUCCCGUGUUCCGACUGGUCUGAGUUCGUAGGCCCCAGACCACAGCCGGUAACUCUUUCAUCCAUCGACCGGGCGCUCUGUCGUUCUCGGUGUACAACCUUUUCUUGAGGGCGUCAAUGAUCAUUCCGUUCGCGUGCUCGACCUGACCAUUUGCCCGUGGGUGAGCUACUGACACGUAUUUUAUGACUAUGCUCCUGUCAUCGCAGAAGUCCCAAAAUGUGGUUCUAGUAAACUGAGUACCCAGAUCGGUGAUUAUACUGUUUGGGAUCCCGAAUCUGUGUAUAAUUUGAUUGAGGAAUUCCACAGCCUUCUCAGAGGUUGCUUUAACCAGUGGCAUGUUGUCGGUGUUUUCCCCCGGGGGGUCACACCAACGAGUAAAUUUGUAUGCGUGCUCCCUUUCCCGGAUGGUGAUGCAAGAAGACACAGAGAUUUAUCCUGGUUCGGGCAAGAGAAGGCCCUACGUCCAGCGGGGGGAGAGAGUUUAUAUUAUCUUGCACCUAAGUCCUUGUACAGGGGCGAAUACAAGCGUGGUAUGAAGUGUGGAGCUCUACUACGUAUGAGCGUGGUCUUGUGUCGUCAUGCUGUUCUAUUCCUGAGUCCCUCCUUUUAUAGUUCCAAGGAAGGGCCUAGGGUACAUGUAUAGGCGUAGGAAUUGGAGUCGAUAGCAGCAUGGAGCGCUGACCUACUCGAGGUUUCCGUACCGGCAUGCCCUCGAGCCGUCCCGUCUUAAUAGCCUGGUGAUGAUCACGCGUGCCCCUGCAUUCUGCUCUGCGCGCCGUCUUGGAUUGGCUCGGCGGAUGCACGGUUACAUGGCUCGGCGGCAAAUCCGGCGGAACAGUUACGGCGUGGUCAGUCGACGCCCGACUCGUCUCCAGGAAGGAGCCUGGUGAAGUCGAGGGUCGGACGCCGUACGAGGUGUCGAUGUCUGGAGCGCUGACCUUGGGUGUCUCGAGGGGGUCCCGAUUAGACGUUCCAUCCUUGUUUCCCGCGUCCUGAGACGCCCUGGGUCGUUCGGUGGGAAGGCUGCAAAAAGAACGAUGGGACAGAAGCCUCCCGUGACCCGUGUGUUAGGUGGGGAAACGUCAGGUGCAUUAAAUGCCCUGGCUCUCGUGCGCGCGUCAGGCGGCGGACAGUGUCCUUGCGCUCGACGCCUCUCGGUUCGCUCGAACCCGCUUCCGUAUUCGACGGCAGUUGUCGCUCGAGCCCUGACCGAUUCGCUCGACGCUAUUUCCGUCUUCGAGGCUGCGACCGUCGAUGGCUGCGCGUGUGUACGGAUGGUCUCGUUGUACGCAUUGGUGAGGGUACCCCUUGUUGAUACCCUCGACAGUAGCCCCCGAGUCUUCAUUCGAGCACUGGCGCUUGAGUGGAGACUUUCGUUUUUACGGUCGAGCUUCCACGGGGGCGCGCGAGCGACCCCGCGGGGGUAGCCCCCGAGCCCUCGAGGGAGUAUUUAACUCCUUCGAGGGUUAUUUUACCAAAUUUGCAGAAACGCUGUCAACACCCGUGGUGGAAGGUUCUGUUCGGCUUUGCCUUGCGUGGAGGUUUCGACGUACUCUCGAUAGAGCGAGCGUCUUCCACCCCGGAUUGAGUUCCUAGCGGGUAGUCCAAGUGAGAACCUGUGCCCCUUUCGAGGGGGUCAGCUGUAGCCCAGAGGCGUCCUCAUAAAGCAGGGUCGACAUGGUCGGGGAUACCGGUUUCAUUCAAUAGAGUCCAGCGGCUCGAUGCCUCCCUUCGGGGGGAUUCCUCUCGACUGUCUCGACCCUACCUUAGACAUCGCCAGCGAGUCCUCGAGGCGGGCCUCGAUUUUCGACCACUCACUGGGGAUCCCUGACUCUUGGUGCUCGAGAUCGGCUGUCGAACCCUUUCGAUGGGCCAGCCAUCGACCUCUCGAGACUAUUGUGGGCGCAUACCUUGGCUUACGAAGUAAGGAAGCUGCCGUGCCGGUUCGUCUUUCUGCCCGUUGGGCGCACCUUUUGAGGUAAGUGACGUUGCGACACUGUAUCGACGGGGAAUUCGGAGCGUCCGGCCUGUGAGGAGAGAAAGGACGAUUAGGUGGCGCAUUCAAGGGAGGGAGUUACCUUAUUUCUCGGAUCUGUCCAUUGGCGGACUGCUGCCUAUAAAUACGUCGUGGCGUCGUCGCCGUUCCUCUCCCUUCCGCCUUCUCGCUUUUAUUCUCUCGUUGCCUUUGCUUUCUCGCCGUCUCACGCGCACACGCCUCCUCGAGCUGUGGUGAAUCCACCGUCCCUCCAGCCGAGAUGCCUGUAAGACUCAUCGCCGCCGACGACUGGCGCCCGUCGUCGAUGACGGAGCACCGGUUGUUAGAGCUUGAGAAAGAGGGACUGCUGCGCCGCCGUACCUCGCUAUCGUCGCCAGAGUGGAUCGCGCCGCCGGCGAGUCACAGGGGGCCUCAGCCGCCCGAGGGCUACGUGGUGUCGUUCGCCAAGUUCCACCGCCACGGUCUGGGUGCGCCCCCGAGCUGCUUCAUGCGGGCCCUCUGCUUCCAUUAUGGGGUGGAGCUCCAGCACUUCUCUCCGAACGCCAUCACCGUAGCGGUGGUCUUCGCCGCCGUGUGUGAGGGCUAUCUGGGGAUGAUGCCGCACUGGGAGCUGUGGCUCCACCUCUACAGGGGCGAGCUUUUCCAUGCCCCCACCGGAACUAUAGGCGUAAGGAAGCCCGUGCGAGCGGGAUGCCUCAAUCUGGUGCAGAAGACGGCGAAGACGGACAAGCCGCGGGAGUACAUCCCGGUAGGGUUAUCGACCAACCACGCCGGCUGGGACUCCCAGUGGUUUUACCUGCGGAACGAUGACAACCUCCUGCCUUCCUUCUCGGGCCGUCUGAUCAUGGAGCGUCCAGCGGACUGGACAUACGGCGUCGUCCAAGCUCAUCAAUCUCGGCUCGACCCCCUCCUCGAUGCCCUGAAGAAGCUUCGCCAGGAGGGUUUGACCGCCACCCUCGUCCUCUCGGCCGUCCAUCACCGGAGAGUUCUCCCUUUGAUGUCUCGACCGUUGAGGAUGGACGAGAUGGGCCCUGGCGUCUCAUCUCGGGACCUUGAGGCGUGUCGGAUGUCCAACGAGGCUCCGGCGGACGACGAAGUCGCGGCCCGAGUCAGGGCUGCAAUUGCCGGUGAUUUUCAGCCGGAGCACGUUAACGGCUUCCCCAUGAGACCAGACGCAGGCUCGAUCGAUCUGGUACGCUUUCUUCUUGCGCGCAGCCACGAUUCUGGGUUUCCUUUCUUACCUCUCUUUUUUCUAAGUCUACCUUUGUUUUGGCAGGGUCGGAUUGAUGUCCGGUCCUCGAGGCCUCCGGUAAAGGAGGACGAGGUCGAUCGCGAUAAACGGCGCCAAUCUGCCGAAAAGCUAAAGUCUGCCAAGGACUCGGCAAAGAAGGGGGAGAAGAAGAAGAACCUCGACCGCCAAGCAUUAGAGGCGCGUCGAGCCAAAUCCAGGCAGAGGGGGGAGCCUGAGGAAGAAUCCCCUAACGAUGAUGACGAUGACGACGAGGACAGCGACGACUCUGAGGGGAUGGCGUCGCGCCUCGAUCGGAUUCUCGAGGGCCCGCCUCGAGGUGACGUCGACGCCCCCCGGACGGAGGCGCCAGAGGAGGGUCCGAGCGGAUCCUGUCGCCCCCGGGCCGACACCCCUCCCGCGCCCAAGGCGGGCCAAGGCGCACCGCGCCCUCCCCCGGUGCCCAGGGAGAGCGUUCUGGCUAGGCCCCAGGCGUCGGGGCCACUAACUCGUGGUCGCGCCGCGGCCUCUGAGAAAAGAGAUGCCGGCCGUAGGAGCGCCAGUCCCGGCGCCCGCCAGGCGGGGACCGACGCGCCUAGGCCAGUGCCUGCCCUCGAGGGGCCUGGAGCCCUGACGCGGGGUGGCUCGAGGCCCACUGGACGGGGUGGCGGGAGGCGAGCCGUUCUCCCUGUGGGGUAAGCCUUUUUGAUGUUGCGGUUUUUGUCUUCCCAUUCUUCCACCUUUCCUCAUAUGCCAACCUUUUCUCAGGCUGAAGCGGACCCUUGAGCAGGCCCAACCAUCCAUGGCAAAGAGGCUCAAAACGGGUGCCGCCUCCAAGGAACCAGGUUCGUAGUUUAUUUCUGGGCGUUGCGAUGUUCUUGUGUCGGUUAUCAUAACGUCUGACCCUUACCCUUCGUUUCGUAGGCUCCUCCAGCUCCCAACCUCCAACCGGCGUCGAGAAGGCUCCGUCUCGUCCCGCGCCUACUCCGUUGCCGCCGACUCAUGAUGAGGUGCCCCAGACGCAAGCCUCCGAGGGAGCCCCCGAGCCCCCUCGUUUGGGGGUCGAGGGGGAACCCAUCACCAUCAGCAAUACGUCCGAUGGUAACGAAGCAUCUGGGGGCGCUCGCCCUAUGGAGGAGGAAGCGUCGACCCCUAACGUCGCGGGAUCGACUCCCUGGCCCGCCGGCCUCCGCGCCCUCGAGGAGCAGAAAAAGAAGAGGGAGGAGAAUGAACAGCGGGAGCGCGAGGCGGCGCGGCAGCCACAGGAGCAUGAGGCACAGCAACAGCAGCAACAACAACAGCGGCAGCAGCAACAGCAACAACCGCAGCAGCAACCGCAGCAGCAGCAGCAGCAACCACCGCCGCAGCAACAGCAGCAGCAGCAGCAGGCGGGCCAAGAGGAGGCACCGCUCGAGCCUCCGCCCCAAGGUCCGGCCCAGCCAGUGCCACCGGAGCCGCAAGAGCUCGGCGAGGAGGAGGACCUGCCAGUGUACGGCCCCCCAACCCCGGCGUGGCUCCUCCCGGGGGCACCUGCCGCGAUCCGGGCAGAGCCGGGGCGAGCGGAUGGAGUGGUGGCGCUCGCCUGCCUGAAGCGCACGCCCCCCGACCCCGAGUCCGAUAUCAAGAGGACAAUUUACGGCAUGGACGGGAUCGCCCCAGGGUUCCUCUGGGAACGUCGGGCGUGGGAGGACCGCUUCCCUUCCGAGGAGGAUGAAAUUGGGGCAUCGGGGACCAAGGACGGAACCUGGAAGACGGUGGACGACGACGAGCGGUUCCCAUGCCUCGUCGACCUGUUCCUGCGCCAUGGGGGCUCCCUCGAGACCGUCGAGGGCCUCAUCCGCGGUGUUAAGGCGCGGGCUGACCGGGAGAUGGAGCACUGGUGCCCCGACCGCAUCCGUAUCCGGGCCUCCCACGACCCGUCUGAGCCCGACAUCUUCCUCGACGAUCGGAAGGAGGCGGAGAAGUGGGAACACGUCGAGGAGCUCCGCCUUUGGAUGAAGCAUGUGGUGGGGCUCCUCUCGGACGUUAUCAACAACGGGCUCGGCCCGGCUUAUUUCGUAAGUGUUUCUCGAACUCCAAUCCUCACGGUGCUUUCUGGUUUCUGUAUUCUAAUCCAUCCGACCCUUGAUUCGCAGGAUAUGAAAGAGACCUCCCGCAUCAAGUCCAGCUUCAUACACGCCACGAGGGGCGGUUGGGAGCAGCUCCCCCUCCUCAAGGAUCAACUCCUCGAGUCGCAGGAAAAGCUCCUUAAAGCUUACAAAGAUCUCAUCACACUCGAGGAGGAGAAGAAGGCGAGGGAGGCUGCUUUGGCCGAGGCCCGAGAGGCCUCGAAGAAGGCGGAGGAGGAGACGAUGCAGCUACGGGAGCGGGCUCUUACGGUCGAGGAGGCCGCGUCCAGAGCCCGGGAGGAGGCCCUGUCCUACAAGAGCGUUAUCGCGGAUCUGGACAAGGAGAAGGGCCUCCUUAAAUCCGACCUGGACUCUCUCCGAGAGUCCUCCUGAAAGAUGAAGGUGGAGCAUGUGAACGGCGAGGUCGCCAGGGGCGCCGCGGAGGAAGCCAAGAAGAAGGCCCUCGAAGAUCUCGAGGCGGAGUGGGCUCGAUCCUGCAGUCUCUCUAACGACGUCGAGCGUCUGAAGGGAGAACUGCUGGAGAAGAGUGGGGCCAUCGCUCAGGCUGGCAAGGCGAUCGAGGAUCUCCGCGUUGCCAACACCGAGCUGGCACGCUCCAACAAAGAGAUCGAGGGGGCCAACACUAGGCUGGUCGGCGAGAACACGGCCCUCGAGGAGACCGUACGCGGUAUGUUUCCUCUAUCAGAUUUCUUUUUCCGCGGUGUGCUUAGUUUUUCCUAAGGUCUCUUUAUAUUGGCUUUUACAGGGCUCAAGGACGAACUCCUGGCCGCCCAAGCCGAGGCUCGCAACGCCAAGGCUCAGCUCGAGGCGGAGGUUGCUUUGAACCGUCGAGUGCGGACGGCGAUAAGCGAUCUCUCGACCUCUUGGGAGGUCGAGCCUAUGGACGAGUCGAGGGAGGACGCUCGAGGCGACGCCCUAGUCGACCAGUUGUGCUACAUAGGCGCGACGCUGCGAGAUCGGGUGCGGGACGCUCUCCACAUCGGGGUGAAGCGGGCGAUGGCGGUUGUCUGCUCGGGCUUCUCCUACGACAUGGAGGUGGUGUCCCAUGGCUUCGUCACCGACAUCUCUAAGACCGACGCGGAGAACGAGGAGAGGCUCCAUGCCUUGAUCGACGACGCGGAGGCUCCUGGGGAAAGGUUGGCCAAGCUUUUCGAGCCUGAGGUGCUCCCUCCUGAAGCUAGCUCGGGCGGAGGCGAGGGCGGUGAGGAUCGUGCCGCGGACUGAGGCCUGCGAGCCUGCUCAGGGCGCCUGAGGCCCCUUGUACGAUACUUCGUUAGUUCUGUGGGUAACUGAUGCUGUAUCACUUUCGUAAUUGUUAAAUGCUUAUUUUGUCUUUCCGCUUGAUGCUUUCAUUUCUCUUUGCGCCUACGUUUGUAUCCCUUGCUCGAUUUUUCGUGAAAGACCACCUCGAUCACUUCAAUGGUGGGGAAGUGAGUAGAGUUUCCGUAGCCCGGGGGCGUAGGAGUUCUCCAGCUCAUUGUCCCUCGGCCUUUGAGGGGCUCGAGGCGCCUUAGCUACUUGAACCGUGCAAGGUUUACUACGUAAGAAAAGAAAACUUCUUGUUUUUUUGAUACUCGGGGGGGGGUCGUCCCCCUGGUAGCCCCCGAGGGGGUGCUGACUAUGAUGGGUCAUAGUCGGCGCCCCCUUUUAACGUCGAGAUCGUGACUUAUUAAUCUUCUCGACACAAAGAAAGAAGAAUUGCUUCGAGGGAAGGACUUUAUUUAUUCAUUCAUUCGUUUACAGAGUCUCGAUACAGGACGUAAACAGGAACAUAAGUUUAGAACUUCUAGGGGUAGAAUCGACGUAGCUGUUCGAUGUUCCAUGCGUUGGCGAGAAUUGCCCCCUUUUCGUCCGCCAGCUUGUAUGUUCCCGGCUUCAGGACCUCGGCUACCACGUACGGACCUUCCCAAGGCGGAGUCAGCUUGUGGCGUCCCUGAUUGCUUUGCCGGCGUCGUAGGACUAGGUCGCCCACGUUGAGGUCCCUCUUGCACACAUGCUUGUCGUGGUAGCGUCGAAGCCUUUGCUGAUAUCUGGCAGAGUUGAGGAGGGCCAUGUCUCUAGCCUCCUCAAGUUGGUCGACCGCGUUUUCUUGAGUCUCUUUGUUCGAUUGCUCGUUGUAGGCCUUGAGUCGAGGUGACCCAUACUCGAGGUCUGUGGGGAGGAUAGCCUCAGAGCCGUAGACCAUGAAGAACGGGGUGUAUUUUGUGGCCCUGCUUGGUGUUGUCCUAAGGCUCCAUAGGACUGAGGAAAGCUCCUCGACCCAUUUUUUGCCGAAUUUCUUCAAUCGAUUGUAGAUCCUUGGCUUGAGUCCUUGCAGAAUCAUGCCGUUGGCACGCUUGACUUGGCCGUUAGUUCGAGGGUGGGCUACUGCAGACCAGUUCACACGGAUGUGAUGCCGAUCGCAGAAGUCCAAGAACUUUUUGCCUGUGAACUGGGUGCCGUUGUCGGUGAUGAUGACAUUGGGGAUCCCAAACCGAUGGAUGAUGUUGGUGAAGAAAAGGACGGCCUGCUCGGAGCGGAUGUUGGUGAUGGGUCGAGCCUCGAUCCAUUUGGAGAACUUGUCAAUGGCCACUAGCAAAUGGGUGAAUCCCCCUUUCGCCUUUUGUAGAGGUCCUACUAAAUCGAGCCCCCACACCGCAAAAGGCCAGGUAAUGGGGAUCAUCUAAAGAGCGUGGGCAGGCAGAUGCGUCUGCUUGGCGUAGAACUGACACCCGUGACAUGAUCGUACGAGCUCGAUGGCGUCCGCCACGGCCGUUGGCCAGUAGAAGCCUUGUCGAAAAGCGCUCCCUACAAGGGUCCGUGGAGCGGCGUGGUGACCGCAAGCCCCCGAGUGUAGGUCAUCGAGGAGUUUUCGGCCUUCUUCCACGGUGAUGCAACGUUGUAAGACCCCCGUCGGGCUCCGUCGAUAUAGCUCGUUGUCUUCGCCAUAUAUCACAUAUGAUUUAGCCCGUCGAGCGAUACGACGAGCUUCUGACCUGUCUUCUGGCAACUCGCCGCGGAUAAGGCAGUCGAGGAACGGUGUGCGCCAAUCGAAUGGUCGACCUGGUCGUCGUUCUAUCUCCAUCCUCUCCUCCACCAUCAAGAGCUGGUCGGACUCCUUCAUUUUUAUUUGGUGGUAACCAGAAUAUGCAUCAAGGAAAGAAAGGGUUUCACAUCCCGUGGUAGAAUCGACAAUCUGAUCAAUGCGUGGCAAUGGAAAGGGAACUUUUGGACAUGCUUUAUUCAGACUAGUAUAAUCGACACACAUCCUCAUUUUCCCAUUCUUUUUCUUAACUAAUACAGGGUUUGCUAACCAGUCAGGAUGAUGAACCUCCUUGAUGAAUCCGGCCGUCAAAAGCUUGUGGACUUCCUCGCCAAUGAUCUUGCGCUUCUCCUCGUCGAAUCGGCACAACCGCUGCUUCACUGGCUUGGAACCGGCUCGAAUCUCCAAGGAGUGCUCGGCGACUUCCCUCGGUAUGCCUGGCAUGUCCGAGGGACUCCAUGCAAACAUGUCGGCAUUUGCACGGAGAAAGUCGACGAGCACAGCUUCCUAUUUGGGGUCGAGGUCGGUGCUGAUCGUCAGCACUUUGCCGUCGGAGUUGUUGGGGUCGAGCGGGAUCUUCUUGGUUCCUUCCGCCGCCUCGAAGCUGCCCGCGUGGCGCUUAGGCUCUGGAGCCUCAGCGGCCAGGGCCUCGAGCUUCGCGACGAGCUUGGUGGAGUUCUCGACCGCCUCCCCGUACUCGACGCACUCGACGUCGCACUCGUACGCGUGCUCGAAGGAGGAACUGACAGUGAUGACGCCUUUGGGACCGGGCAUCUUCAGCUUCAAGUAGGUGUAGUUGGGUAUAGCCAUGAACUUGGCGUAGCCCGGGCGCCCGAUGAUGGCGUGGUACGUGCCUCGAAACCCAACCACCUUGAAGGUGAGGGUCUCCUUCCUGAAGUUGGCCGUUGUGCCGAAGCAGACCGGUAGGUCAAUUCGACCUACUGGCAGUGCCUUUUUCCCUGGCACGACGCCAUGGAAACCGCCGGCGCUUGGCUGGAGGCGUCCUCUAUCGAUGCCGAGGAGGUCGAGGGUCUCGAGGUAGAUGAUGUUGUGGCUGCUGCCACCAUCCAUCAGCACUUUCGAGAGUCGGGUGUUGACGAUGAUGGGGUCGACGACGAGCGGGUAGACGCCUGGGGCGACUACCUUGUCGGGGUGGUCCUCCCGGUCGAAAGUGAUAGGAGUGCUUGACCAGCUAAGGUACUGGGGCACCGCCAUUCUUGCCGCAAAGACUUCGCGAUGCUCCCUUUUGCGUUGCCUCAUGGUUAAUUGAGUCGAGGGCCCGCCAUAGAUCAUGUAGCAGUCGUGGACGGCGGGGAAGCCGUCAUCAUCUUUGUUGUCCUCCUUGCUGCCAGCCUUCUCUUUCUUGGAGUCAUCACGCGUAUCUUUUUUGAACCCCGGACCGUCGAAAUGCCUUCUCAGCAUGCGACAGUCCUUGAGCUUGUCGUUGGCGCCUCCCUUAUGGUAAGGGCACGGCUCCUCCAACAUCUUGUCGAAGAUGCCUCCAUCCGGAGGGCCUCGAGGCUUCUUUCGAUCCAUGGCGGCGACAAAGUUGUCAUCGGAAUCUUCCCGGUGGAACUGCCGCACUUUCUGCUUCUUUUUAUUUUUCUUCAGGCCUCGACUGGGGGUCCCAUCUUCGUCGACGGGCUGCUUGCCUUUUCUUCCUUCUGAGCUGAAGAAGGCGCCGACUGCCUCCUCCCCUGCCGCGUAGUUGGCUACUACGUCCAUCAGCUCGUCGACGGUCUGAGGUCGAUUGCGACCUAAUUCCCGCACCAAGUCUCGACUGGUGGUGCCCGAGACAAACGCCAAGAUGACGUCGUGGUCAGGGAUGUGCGGCAGCUCAGUGCGCUGCUUCGAGAAGCGUCGAGCAUACUCCCGAAGAGUUUCUCCUGACUUAUGCUUGCACUUGCUGAGGUCCCACGAGUUCCCUGGCCGUAUGUAGGUCCCUUUGAAGUUACCCUCGAAGACUCUGACCAGAUCAACCCAGUUGUGGAUCUAAUUGGCAGGGAGUUCCUCGAGCCAUCGACGGGCGGUGUCGGAGAGGAAAAGGGGUAGUUGUUUGAUGAUGGCUCGAUCAUCACCUCGAGCGCCACCUAGCUGACAGGCCAGCCUGAAGUCGGCCAGCCACAACUCUGGUUUGGUCUCUCCAUUGUACUUCGCGAUGCUGGUCGGGGGUCGAAAUGGAUUGGGCAGGGGCGUGCUGCGGAUCGCCCUGCUGAACACCCGUGGGCCUGGUGGCUCGGGGGCCACCCGGUCCUCGUCGCUGUCGUAGCUCCCACCGCGAUGCGCGCUAUAACCGCGCUCUUCCGCGUCUCCGUGCCGGCGGCGUCAAUUUUCUUUGAUGUCGUGCCGCGCGUCGUGUCGACGUUGAUUGUCGACGGGGAGGAUGAGAGCGGUCUUUCUACCUCGAGGGGGAGGUUGUUGAUGGACUGACACCUCCUCUUCGUUUAGAGGCUGUUCGUCGCGCCUCUCUGUGGCCGCUCCUCGUCGUCGAGACGCCGAACUUUCGGCUUGUUGAACCGCCGCCACCUGGAGCAAUGUCUGUACCUCAUCUCGAAUGUGUCGGGCCAGGGAAUUCGACGGCUGUGGCAUGUUACGUAGCAGCAUGGUCGCUGCCACUACAUUCUGGCCUGCUCGAGGGAAACGGCUGACAGGUGGCUCUGGCUCUGCGUCGCCGACGAUCUGUUGAUGUACCUCUCGAGCGCGUCUGCGGACACUUCCGCCCGGCGGGUAGGGCAGGUCUUGCUCGAGGAUUUGCUCGAGCAGGACGAGGCGUUCGCGGUCUUCGUCGAGCUUCAUCUUGAGCUCCCGCAGUUGCGCGAGCUGCGCGGUUCUGUCUUCCUGAGGGGGGGGUCGACCUGUCCGUCGUUCCCAGGCGUCCUGGGGUCUUCUCGCGCCGCGGGGGCUCGACCAGCCGCAGCAGCAUCCCGUGUCUCGUCAGUAGUUUCUACCGCCCCGUCGAUGUGACAGCAUUCCCUCAUAGGGUCAUAGCUAUCUGUCUCGGAGUCGGAGUCCGGUUCGGCAGCGUAGAAACACCCACGUCCUUCCUCCAGCAAUCGUUGCCUGAGGGAGGUGAUCGAGUAUCGUCCGGGGCCUAGACGACGGAGGCCUCGUACUCGGGAAAGGUCCGGCAGCUCGGACGCCGGCCGCCGCGCUUCAGAGCAACGUGGGAGGACCAUUGGUCUUUCUACGUGCGUCUGGGCGUUUGGGCAUAUCGCCCUGGCGAGCGACGCCGCGGCGUUGUCCAAUCCGAACGGCAGUGCCGCUCUUGGAGAGAACAACCCGUGUGGAAGUAGCCUAGCUGCGGUGGGGGAGAGCGCGCGAGACGCGUCCCCUCCUGUCGUCGCGCGGUGUUGAAUCGUUGCGCUUGUUGCUCCGUCACACGGUGCUGCCGACUUGUGGCCUACGUCCUGCCUCGCACGAGUUGUUGGUCGUGCUGAAGCAGAGGGGCCGCGGUGGUGCUGUCCGCGCCUCUUCUUAGGCGGGGAGGCGUGGUGGUGAGGGCGUCUCGGGGCCCUCAACCGUGCUGGCGUAACGCGGGCUCCUCCUGGUCCUUUGACUGAGAGCAAGAUCAUGUCGUAGCCGGAGCGCGUAGACAUGAACUCAAGACUCCCAAACCAAAUCACCGUGGAGUGCGGAAACGGCGAGGCAAGAGUAGCCAUCCGGAAAGGAGUGGGAAAUCGAUGAAAUACACGCAGGACCCCUACCUGGCGCGCCAACUGUCGGUGUUUUCCCCCCGGGGGGCCACACCAACGAGUAAAUUUGUAUGCGUGCUCCCUUUCCCGGAUGGUGAUGCAAGAAGACACAGAGAUUUAUCCUGGUUCGGGCAAGAGAAGGCCCUACGUCCAGCGGGGGGAGAGAGUUUAUAUUAUCUUGCACCUAAGUCCUUGUACAGGGGCGAAUACAAGCGUGGUAUGAAGUGUGGAGCUCUACUACGUAUGAGCGUGGUCUUGUGUCGUCAUGCUGUUCUAUUCCUGAGUCCCUCCUUUUAUAGUUCCAAGGAAGGGCCUAGGGUACAUGUAUAGGCGUAGGAAUUGGAGUCGAUAGCAGCAUGGAGCGCUGACCUACUCGAGGUUUCCGUACCGGCAUGCCCUCGAGCCGUCCCGUCUUAAUAGCCUGGUGAUGAUCACGCGUGCCCCUGCAUUCUGCUCUGCGCGCCAUCUUGGAUUGGCUCGGCGGAUGCACGCUUACAUGGCUCGGCGGCAAAUCCGGCGGAACAGUUACGGCGUGGUCAGUCGACGCCCGACUCGUCUCCAGGAAGGAGCCUGGUGAAGUCGAGGGUCGGACGCCGUACGAGGUGUCGAUGUCUGGAGCGCUGACCUUGGGUGUCUCGAGGGGGUCCCGAUUAGACGUUCCAUCCUUGUUUCCCGCGUCCUGAGACGCCCUGGGUCGUUCGGUGGGAAGGCUGCAAAAAGAACGAUGGGACAGAAGCCUCCCGUGACCCGUGUGUUAGGUGGGGAAACGUCAGGUGCAUUAAAUGCCCUGGCUCUCGUGCGCGCGUCAGGCGGCGGACAGUGUCCUUGCGCUCGACGCCUCUCGGUUCGCUCGAACCCGCUUCCGUAUUCGACGGCAGUUGUCGCUCGAGCCCUGACCGAUUCGCUCGACGCUAUUUCCGUCUUCGAGGCUGCGACCGUCGAUGGCUGCACGUGUGUACGGAUGGUCUCGUUGUACGCAUUGGUGAGGGUACCCCUUGUUGAUACCCUCGACACAUGUAUUCGAUCCAUUUUGAGAACUUGUCGAUUAAUACGAAAACGAACUUGAAGUUGCCAGGGGCCGGUUUAAAUGGCCCGAUCAUGUCAAGUCCCCAGCAGACGAAAGGCCAGGAUGACGGGAUAGUUUGAAUCUCGUGAGCAGGUACGUGGGUCCUUUUAGCGAAGAACUGACAUCCCUCACAGUGUCGGACCAGUUUUUCUGCAUCGCUGACCGCGUUUGGCCAAUAAAAACCUGCUCGGAAAGCUUUCCCGACCAGCGUUCUGGAUGCAGCGUCGUUGCCGCAGGAUCCAGCAUGUAUGUCCUCUAGGAGUUUGAUGCCAUCAUCUUGGGAUAUGCAUUUGAGCAGCACUUCAGAACUUGCAUUUUUCCGCAUAAGCUUGCCGUCGACCAGUAUGUAAUUUUUUGAUCGUCGAAUGAGGCGCUCGUUCUCUGUUUUGUCCUGAAAGCCUGACCCGUCCGAUAUAUAUUUGAUGAACGUAGUGCGCCAAUCACGGCCACUGGUUGUUGAGGUGGCAUCGUCUAUGGGCAUUGUUUCCGUAGGUUGCUUUUCGACCAGGCCGGAGCCCACGCUUGGCUCAUGGAUGUCCUGGACGAAAACACCCCGCGAGAUCGGGGCCCGAGAUGACCCUAACUUUGAUAACGCAUCUGCUGCUUCGUUCUUAUCCCGGACCACAUGGAUGUAUUCUAUGUCGUAGAAGUUGGUCUCCCACUUGCGAAUUUCCUUGCAAUAGAGAUCCAUCUUUUCGUGGGUCGCGUCCCAUUCUUUGUUGAGCUGGCUGAUAACCAAAGCAGAGUCGCCAUAGACAUAGAGGCGUUUGACUCCCAACUUGUCGACGAAAGCUGGUCGGCAGUCUACCUUGCGGUAUACCCACGGUAGUAGUUUAUCGGUAGACGGUGCACAAACUACGAACUCGAUGGUGACGCAAGACACGGACAAGCAUUUUAUCCAGGUUCGGCCACCGAGUUGGAGUAAUACCUACGUCCUGCGUUUGGUUGUAUUGAUUUGUGUUGAGAGAAUAACUUGCCCUAGGGGGUCCCUUGCCCCUCCUUAUAUAGUCCGGAGGGCAGGGUUACAGAUCUGGAAACUAAUCCUAGUCGGUUACAAUUGCCAUAGAUAGUUCGACAUCAAUCCCUAUUCUAACCGACUAGAAUCUUGCUUGAUCUCCACGUCUUGUUUCCUUGCGCGAAACUCCAAGCUGUCGGAUCAAGCCUUGAGCUUGUCUCGUAAUGGGCCAAGCCUCCUGGCCCAGGUCUAGCCGUAAGGGUAUAGGGGUUUAUCCCCCCACAGCUAGUCCCCGAGCACCAUGUAUUGUGAUGUAACACACCGUCUUGAGCUUCUUCGAUCAGUGAGGCUUGACGUCUUCAAUAAGUAGGAAAAUCGCCCAAACAGUUGCAACGGUAUUUUGACCAACUCAAAAGACAGUUGAUCAACAUUGACAUCGAAGAAGCAGGUUGUUCGAAGAAUGCAUGGUGCUCUUAAUUAAAAAAGAUUUCUUUCCUGGUGAAGUGUGCCCACUUUACUUUUUUGAAAAGUAUAGUCCUCAAAAAAGCAAGCAUAUUCACCGCAAGGUGAAGUGUGCCCACUUAGUCCCCGAGCCUGGUAGUAGGUGACGUAGACACGUGGUGCCAGGGUCAAAAGAGAAUUCCCCAAAGUAGUUUUGAAACUGGGAUGCAUCGCCAGAUGCAUCGUACCGAUGUAGUCCCCGAGCUUGCUGGAAGGCGAAGUAUGAGCCUUGUAGCAAGGUCUAAAAAAUUAAAAUUCACCAGUCCCCGAGUGUCUCAUGCUCGAUUACCAUCGAAUAGACUUAUCAAUUUAACCAGUCCCCGGGUGUACAAUGCUCGGAGAUCGAUACAGCCUGCUGAUUACCGAACGUACACACUAAGCGACUAGCCCCGGAGCAUCCAGCGCUCGUUGAUCGGUGCAGUCCGAACAAAUUUAACGACCAGUCCCCGAGCGUCAAGUGCUCGGUGGUCGGUGCAUUCCUGGAACUUCCGAGUUGAUAGACUGUGCGACCAGUCCCCGAGCUUCAAGUGCUCUGUGGUCGGUGUUGUCCUUGAAGGUCCAAGUUGAUAGUCUGUGCGACCAGUCCCUGAGCAUCAAGUGCUCGGUGGUCGGUGCAGUCCUCGGAUUGUUGACUCUCUAUUAUUUUUGUCUGCUUGUUUUUGAAAAAUUUCACCACAUAAAAGUUGACGUGACGAGACCACCUGACGGGAUGUCAGAUGGCUGCAUGAAAAGUUGAGCCUGGCAACUGUGCAGCCGCUCUUUGCGGGAAGUGAGAAAAGGAAACCAUUAAUUUGUACGAAAACUCCGCCGCAUUAAUUGUCGAUAAUCAUUGAAAACCGAAACGCCGCGUCACCGUUGGGCCCGCCCACUUCCCAAGAAUGCAGGAAGUGGGAGGGGUGGAGUUGCGUUUUAUAAAAUCCUGGCAUUAACCUCGCAUUGCUUACUCUGCCAUUGCCUUCAAGCUUUCCGCUCUCGCCUUCUGCAACCUCCUGCACCCUCCUAACUCGAAACCACUCCCGCAUCUCCAAUGGCGAAAAGCGAUUCCAAGAAAAGGGCUGAGCUAAUGGCCAAGGAAUGGAAGAAAUCCCGCAGCACCGCAAAAUCCCUCGGUGACCUCGUCGACAUGGGGCUACUGCACAGCCUGGAGCUCGGCGGCUGGAGGGCGCCGGAAGGGGAGAGCUACCCCGACCCCCGCGCCGGUGAGAUUGUAGUUUUUGAAGAUUUCAUUAAGAGGGGUUUUGGGGUUCCUGUUCAUCCUUUUCUUCAGGGUCUUCUUUUGUAUUAUGAGAUCGGGAUUUGCAAUCUGCACCCGAACUCAAUUCUUCUCAUCUCCACUUUUAUCCAUCUGUGCGAGGCCUAUGUUGGCAUAGAGCCGCACUUCGAUCUCUUUCGUUAUCUUUUCUGUCUAAGGAAGAAGGGAGCAGUUGGAGGCUCCAAGAUUGCAGGUGGAGUAUACCUCAAUCUCCGGGACGGGAUGAAGAACCGGUACCUGAGAUGUCUGUGGAACACCUCUCUUACCGAAUGGUAUAGGAAGUGGUUCUAUGUCAGGGAGGAGCUGAGCAGCUCCACGUUCUGUGACGUGGGGUACAUCCCCGAGAAGAGGGUCAGUUGGACCGACCGCCCGGGCUUCGACGGCCAAGUAGCGGACCUGCUGAAGCUGAUCGACUGGUCGCGCUUGGACGGGCUAGGAGUGGUCGGCAACUUUGUUUGCGCCGGGUGAUGCCCUGCCAGAAGAGGGUGCACUCGGCGUAUGAGUACGCCGGAAGCCAGGACCCGACCAGGAUGAGGCCUGAGGUCCUGGACAAGGAAGAGGUGCAGCAAUUAUUGAACGAGCUGUUCAACUUUGCUGACGGGAGCUUCAUCCGUGGUAGUGAUCGGGUGCAGGCUUCAAGCUGGGACGACCAGCCCCUAAGGUAAUGUCCUUUACUGACUGUGUCUCCUUAGCGUUCGUUAUUUUGUCGGAUGCUGACUUGUCUGUGUUACUUUUUGCAGAUCGGAGAUGUUGACAGGUGCACAGUGUAUGUGUCACUGGCCCCUAGGAUGGAGGACCCCGCAGGGGAGGAUCCGCCGGUGGAAGACGCUGCACGGUGUGAUCGGUACACCAGUAGUGAAGAGGACCAGGCCCUCCCCGUCCCGACCACCGAAGAGAGAGUGGCGGGGAAGAGGCCGCUGGCAACAGAUCCUUCGCCUGCACCGACGCUGCCGGCAGAGAGCAGUCAAGCGCCAAAGUGCCGUCGGCUCGUCCGGAUCACUGAUGACGACGACGAAGAGGAGGAGGCCGCACCGUCGCUGGUCCGGAGGCCUCGUAGCCGUCCGGACAGUGUGCCGACCACUGCUGAUCGAGUGGCCAGCGACCCUCCUGUGCCGCGCGUCGCAGAGACGGGGGCUCAGGCGCCGACCGGCCGGGCUAGGAGGAGGUUCACUGCGACCCACCGUCGAUCAGACCUGUAAGUGUUCGACUUACGCACUUUGGUGUUUUUUUUAAGAUAAUACUUUGUUCUUUUAGCGCAGCGUCGGAUGUCAACCCCGACCACGCCACCGGCCAAGGGGCGCCCGAGCCUGCCACCGUUGACGCCGCGCCGCAGGCCACAGAUCAGCCUACGGCGGCAACUGCUGCUACAGGCGCUGAGGGGCAGUCUGCCCCGGCGAGUGCUGCAGCGGGUACUCCGCCGAGGAACGAGGAGGCUUCAAGGACCCCUCCCCCGAGCUCUGCUGCUGAGGAGGAAGGCCGAAUCCCGACUCCAGCCGAAGAAGGGAGGGUCCCGACACCGCCCCGAGCAGGGGCUUCUUCACCCGUGAGCCCCGCUGGCCUAGGCGGGGGGCCCAUGAUGCCUUCGACCGCCGCCGGAGGCAGCGCGGCGAAUGAGGAGCCCCAGGAGGCCUCUGACGACGACGUGGAGGAGGUCCAGGGUCGUCCCCGUGAUGGCCGCCAGCACGUCUACGUGUGGCGCCAACGCGGGGACCACUUUAUUGGACAUGAAGAGCUCGCAGAGACGGAGGAGGCCGCGAUGGUGGAGCGUGCGGCCAAACGUCUUGUAGAUGAAGUCAAGGUAAGCGAUUCUUUGCACUGCUCGACUACUUCCCCUUUUUUUUAUUAUCUUGCUGGGUUGACAUGCAACCCUCUUGCAGGGCGCCAUGAAAACGGUGAAGUACCGGAAGAGGUGCUUCGACCAGAUAGAAGGAAUUGUGGCCGAGGACAAGGCCCUGACCGCGGAGGUGGACCGGCUGCGGUCGGAGGUCGGGGAGAAGGUGGCCGAGAUGAACGCCCAGGAGGAGCGUCGUCUCGAGCUCACUCAUCGCUUGGCCGACCAAUAUCGGCAGCGGUCAGGUCAGUUAGGUGCUUCGAGCAGCUGUGAGUGGCUGCGUAGUUUGCUUUUCUGACCAGGUUAUGGUUCACGUAGGCUUGGAGGAGGAGGUGGCGCGCCUCCGACAGGAGAAAGAGCAGCUCAGCCAAGAGCUUGCCGGGGCGCUGGAGGCCGGACGCCGAGCAGGGGAGGAGCUGAGCCGAAAGGACCGGGAGUUGUCUGGUAAUUCGCGCCGCCCCGUUAUCUGCCGCUUAUCGCUCGUUUUGAUAUGUUGAAAAUAACAUCUUGCUCGAUUUGCAGUGCUCAAGGUGAACGCCAAAAAUCACCUCGACGAGCUGGUCAAGGACAGGGACUCCUAGAAGGUCAAUUGUUGUAAGAUCUGGAAAGGAGUAUCCCCGGUCCUGGACUUGAUCAGCCCCGAGCUCCCGGAGAGCCAGCCCCGCGCGCCGAAAUUGACCCCAGUUGAAAAGGCACAACGGGCAUGGGACUGGCUUCAGCAAUUCGUGAAGGACGCCGGGGAGUUUGCUGGCACGCAUAUCCUUAGCAUGGUGCGCGCCCACUACCCCCUGGUUGACUUGACCAGGCUGGAGAAGGGGUAUCCCAAGGAAGUCGGCCCGCAGGAGGCGGAUGAGCUUCGGGGUGGUCUGCUGGACUUGUCGUCGUCGGUCAUCGGUGACAUCAAUCUAUGCGGGACGGCCACUCCCCCCGACCAGCCGGGUUCAGACAGAUCGGCCAGCGAGCUGUCGGGCGCGUCUGUUGCGGGAGAUGGGCGGUCGACGCCUGCGGUCUCGACCAGCCAGGCGCCGGUGGCCCCGACCCCUUCGUCCGGGCAGCAAGGCCAGGCGGGUGAUCAGCCCGAGCAGUAGGCCAUUAGGGUAGUCUGUAGGAGUAGACUAGUGUCUGCCCGUCAGGGUAUUUAUUGUAAACUUUGUAUGUAAAGUUUGUAAUAAAGUUUGCUUUUGUCAUGACUAUUAUUUUGAGCGCUGUACAAUUAUCUGAGUGACGUGCCACUGUAUUUGAUUUUGUAGUUGCUAAGAUUUUUCCGCCGCAGAGGACUUUUCGAGUUCUGCGUGUAACAAAGUGUAGGCAAAAAAGAAAAACUUUAAUUAUUGAUAGCUAUAAGACAUUUUCAAUCGAAAGUUACUAGAACUUAUGGAUAAAAUCGGCGCAGUCUGUCUAUGUGCCAAGGGUUAGGCACGCGUGUUCCGUCUGGAUACGCCAAUCUGUAGGAUGUGGGUCGAGUGACUUCGGCGACCACAAAGGGUCCUUCCCAGGGAGUGGAUAGCUUGUGCAUUCCUUCCUGGCUUGUUUUCCACCUGAGUACCAGAUCGCCGACCAUGAAGGAACGGUCUUUAACGUUCCUGUUGUGGUAUCGUCUGAUUGCCGCAAGAUACUUUGUUGUUCGAAGGCACGAAUUUAGACGUUUUUCUUCCAUGCAGUUGAUUUCGAGUUCCCUGGUGUUGUCGGCCGUUGACUGGUCAAAGUUUUCGAUCCUUGGAGAUCCAAAGGUUAUAUCAGGUGGCAGCACAGCCUCGGUGCCGUAGACCAUGAAGUAGGGUGACACCCCGGUGUUACGACUAGCCUGUGUUCGGAGACCCCAGACCACGCCUGGCAACUCUUUCAUCCAUCGACCAGGUGCUCUGUUAUUCUCGGUGUACAACCUUUUCUUCAGGGCGUCGAUGAUCAUUCCGUUUGCACGUUCUACUUGGCCAUUUGCCCGUGGGUGAGCUACUGACACGUAUUUUAUGACUAUGCCUCUGUCAUCGCAGAAAUCCCAAAAUGUGGUGCCAGUGAACUGAGUACCCAGGUCGGUGAUUAUACUGUUUGGGAUCCCGAAUCUGUGUAUGAUUUGAUUGAGGAACUCCACGGCCUUCUCGGAGGUUGCUUUGACCAGUGGCAUGUACUCGAUCCACUUUGAAAACUUGUCGAUUAACACGAAAACAAACUUGAAGUUGCCAGGGGCCGGUUUAAAUGGCCCGAUCAUGUCGAGCCCCCAACAGGCGAAAGGCCAGGACGACAGGAUAGUCUGGAUCUCUUGAGCGGGUACGUGGGUCCUUUUAGCGAAGAACUGACAUCCCUCACAAUGUCGGACCAGUUUUUCUGCGUCGUUGACCGCGGUUGGCCAAUAAAAACCUGCUCGGAAAGCUUUCCCGACCAGUGUUCUGGAGGCAGCAUGAUUGCCGCAGGAUCCGGCGUGUAUUUCGUCUAGGAGCUUGAUGCCAUCAUCCUGGGAUAUGCACUUGAGCAGCACUUCAGAACUUGCAUUUUUUCGCAUAAGUUUGCCGUGCACCAGUAUGUAAUUCUUUGAUCGUCGAAUGAGGCGCUCGUUCUCUGUUUUAUCCUGAAAGCCUGACCCGUCCGAUAUAUAUCUGAUGAAUGGGGUGCGCCAAUCGCGGUUGCUGGUUGUCGGAGUAACGUCAUCUAUGAGCAUUGCCUCAAUAUGCUGCUUUUCGGGCGGGUCAUUGCCCACACUUGGCUCAUGGAUGUCCUGGACGAAAACACCUCGCGGUAUCUGGGCCCGAGAUGACCCUAACUUUGACAACGCAUCUGCUGCUUGGUUCUUAUCCCGGACCACGUGGAUGUAUUCUAUGCCGUAGAAGUUGGUCUCCCACUUGCGAAUUUCUUUGCAGUAGAGGUCCAUCUUUUCGUGGGUCGCGUCCCAUUCUUUGUUGAGCUGGUUGAUGACCAAAGCAGAGUCGCCAUAGACGUAGAGUCGUUUGGCUCCCAACUCAACGGCUAGUCGGAUGCCGUGUAGGCAGGCUUCGUACUCGGCGACGUUGUUGGAUGCCGGAAAGAGGAUCCUAAGGACGUAACGCAGCUUGUCCUUGUUAGGCGACACAAAUAGUAUCCCAGAGCCGGCACCGUUGAUGUUCAAGGACCCGUCGAAAAACAUCGACCAGUGGUCGGAGACGUCGGGAACGGGAGUUUCGUUAAGGUCUGUCCAUUCUGCAAUGAAAUUGACCAGAGCCUGAGACUUGACUGUGGUGCGACUCUGGAAUUCCAGAGAGAACGGGCAUAACUCCAUUGCCCACUUUACAAUUCUGCCGUUUGCGUCUUUGUUGCGCAGAAUAUCCCCGAGAGGGAAACUGGUGGUUACCAAGACUCGAUGGCCGUCGAAGUAGUGCUUUAGCUUUCUCGAUGUUAUUAGAAUGGCGUAUAUGAGUUUCUGUAUUUGCGGAUAUCUGGCCUUGGAUUCGUUUAAGACUUCGCUUAUGAAAUAAACGGGUCGCUGGACCUUGUAAACAUGUCCUGGCUCAUCCCGCUCGACCACUAUUGCCGUGGAAACAACCCUGUCGGUUGCAGCAAUGAAAAGGAGUGGGUCUUCAUUGGGCGGAGGCGCUGUAAGAACAGGCGGUGAAGUGAGGAAAGUCUUAAGCUGGGUGAACGCAGCGUUGGCUUCCUCUGUCCAAGAAAAUUUUUCCGAUGCCUUCAAGAGUUUGAAGAAAGGGAGGCCUUUUUCUCCCAGUCUUGAGAUGAAGCGACUGAGUGCGGCCAUACAUCCGGUGAGCUUCUGAAUAUCCUUGACAUUUUUAGGUGGUCGCAUGUCGAGUACUGCUCUUACUUUUGAAGGAUUUGGUCGUAUGCCGUCGUGGCUGACGACGUUGCCGAGCAGUAGACCGGAAGGGACGCCAAAGAUGCACUUUUUGGGGUUAAGCUUCCACUUGUACUUGUUUAGCGCCUUAAAGGUUCGGUCUAAGUUGUCCAUUAGGGUGCUUGCAUCCCUUGUUUUGACGACGACGUCAUCUACAUAGGCCUCGACGAGGUCAUCACGGAUCUCGUCGUGGAGGCAUUGCUGGAUGGCCCUUUGAUAGGUGGCCCCGGCGUUUUUGAGUCCGAACGACAUGGUCAUGUAGCAGUAUGCGCCGAAAGGAGUAAUGAAAGACGUUUUUAUCUGGUCUUCUUCCUUUAGCAAGAUCUGGUGAUAGCCAGAGUAGCAGUCUAGAAAAGAGAGGAGUUCGCAUCCGGCCGUUGAGUCGACCACCUCGUCGAUGCGAGGGAGACCAAAAGGAUCUUUAGGACAGUGUUUGUUGAGAUCAGUGUAAUCAACGCACAUUCUCCAUUCAUUAUUCUUUUUGCGUACAAGAACCGGAUUGGCUAGCCAAUCGGGAUGAUACACUUCUUUUAUGAAUCCGGUUGCUAGAAGCCGUGUUAUUUCUGUCCUAAUAGCCUCCUUUUUGUCACGAGCGAACCGUCGCAGCUUUUGCUUGAUGGGUCUUGCGGUCUUCGAGACAUUUAAGGAGUGCUCGAUCAGGUUUCGUGGGACGCCGGACAUGUCUGCGGGUUUCCAUGCGAAAACGGUUACAUUGUCCCUUAGAAACCUGACAAGCGCGUCUUCCUAUUUAGGGUCCAGGUUGGCCCCGAUGAGGGCCGUCUUCUCGUGGCUGCCUUCGACCAGCUCCACUUCCUUGUGCUCCUUGGAUUUUGAGUUCUUCCUGGCGGUCCCCUGCUCGGGUAGUUGAAGCUGGUCGGGAGGUAGCUGUGCAGCCUGGGUUGCUGUCUCAGUCAUGCAGAUUGAGAUAUCGAUUGCUUCGGUGAUCUUGAAGCUCUCCUCCUCGCAAGUAUAUGCGGUGUAGACAUUACCCCUGACUGUUAGGACUCCUUUCUCCGUGGGCAUUUUAAGGACCAGGUAUGAGUAAUGCGGGACCACCAUGAAUUUUGUCAGCGAUGGUCGGCCCAGUAUGGCGUGGUAGGUUCCAUCGAAAUCGGCGACCACAAAGUUGACGAACUCUGUCCGAAAGUGGUCGGGCGUGCCAAAUUGGACAGGCAGUGUUAUCUGUCCGAGGGGCACUGAACUCUGGCCUGGCAAAACUCCCCAGAAUUGAGCAUCGUAGGGUUUUAGUUGUGCCGGUGAUAUCUUGAGAGUGGGCAGGCUGUUGCGGAAAAGGAUGUCAAUGGAGCUUCCUCCGUCUAUGAGCACACGCUCGAAUCUGAUGCCGUUGAUGCAUGGGUCUAGGAUUAGAGGGAAACGACCUGGCUCUGGGAUAGCGGCCCACUGAUCCUUUCUGCUGAAGGAGAUCUCCCUAUGCGACCACGGGGGAAAUUUCGGGUCGGCGAUCAGGCCGUCCGUGCUGUCUAUGUUGAGGCAGGCUCUCUUUAAGAGCUUUCGUUCUCGCUUGGAUUCGAUGGAGACCUUGCCCCCGAAGAUGGAGUGGACCAUGUCAGUGGGGCUGACAUAUUGGUGUCGAGGGUCCCUAUCUUGGUCGUCGUCCUCAUCUUCGUGGUCGUGCCCGUCUCGUUUGCUAUUUUUCUUGGCGGAGUCGUCUUGGGCGGCCCGCCGUGUAUAGAUAUUUUUGAGGACACGGCAUUCUUCCAUGGUAUGAUUGGACUUUGGGUGCAGCUGACACGGUCCCUUCAAUGUUUUGUUGUAGUCUUCUUGGUAGUCCCGCCGCCCGUUGGGACGCUUGACCGUAUUCACUUUGUGCUCGUGGUCACGGGGGCGCUUUCCUCUGAAAUCGUCGCGAUUGUCGUGCCGCCUGUCCCAGCCUUCUCUUUGAUCACGGUUGUCGGGGCGGCGGUGGUUCCUGUUGUCGAAACGACCACGACUGUCAUCUCGCCGAGGAGGCUGGUCGGGGCCUCUCGCAUCGUCCCGGAUUAGUUUUUCUGCGUCGUCGGCAUCGUCGUAAUUUUUAGCCGUGGCAAGGAGCUCGGCCAUCGUUGUUGGCCUUUUGCGCAACAGCUUGUUCCUCAGUGCCUCGUGAAAACGUAGGCCUUUGAUGAAGGCAGAGAUGGCCUCGUCGUGGGAAAUCUUCGGGAUCUUAAGGCGCAUAUCUGAGAAUCGCAGGAUGUAAUCGCGCAGAGGCUCGUUUUUCCUGUUCCUUAUCCUUUCGAGGUUGUAUUUGUUGCCAGGCUGCUCGCAUGUGGCGAUGAAAUUGUCGAUGAAGGCCUGGCGCAGCUCCUCCCAAGAGUCGAAGGAGUCCUCGGGCAGGCCAAGAAUCCACUGGUGACCAGCCUGGUCGAGGACUACUGGGAAGUAAUUGGCCAUGACGUGUUCGUCUCCUGCUGCUGAUCGGACGGCGAUCUCAUAAAGAGUGAUCCAGUUUUCCGGAUUUUCCUUGUCGUCGUAUUUUUUGAGUUUCUCGAGCUUGAAAUUGCGGGGCCAUACGACCUGGCGGAGAUGUGAGGAGAACUGCCUCAGGCCCGGGGGGCCGUGUGUUGCAUCAUAUUCGAUACGACGCAGGUUUUCGUGGACUGCUCUCUCCGUGGCGCGCCUGUUGAUGCGGUCACGGGCGUCUUUGGGAGGGAUGUUGUAUUGAAGAUCCCUGUGCUGGUUUACUUCCUGACCACGCCCAUGGUUCUGCUCGCGGCAACCGCCAGCACGCCGACCGUCGUCAUCACGCCGUGAAUCUUUUCGAUGAUUGUCGGUGGAACGGUGCGGUGAGGUGCGGCUGCGGUGAGUCUGGUCGGAGGUGGCCUCCGUAUAGGAGACGGCUUGGACUCUUUUGAGCAGAGUGGCUGUCUGUCCCAUUGCGGCGAUCAAAUGUGCUUGAACGCUGGUUCGGAUGCCCUGGCAAUCGGGAGUGUCAGGGAGCCGAUCUAAAUUGGCCAUGGCCACAGCCACGUUGGCGCUUGGCGUUUUGUAAACUGGCUGAUCCCCGACCAUGUCGAAAGCGUCGCUGAGAUUGUGCGGCGGGAUUUGACGUUCCUCGUCCGCGCGUCGUCAGGCUCGAUCGGCGUUACGCUGCUCACGGAGCUGCCUCUGCUCGUCUGUUUCUCCAUCGACGACUGGCUCGUCGGCACUGACAUUGAAAGCGAUGUCUCCUCGCCGUGGUGGGAAGACCGGGAAACGAGAGAAGCCCGGAGGAUGUGAAGGCAGAUCCAGGUCGUAGUCCUCGUCUUCGGAGUUUAUGACCUCGGUGGGGACGGAACCAGUGCUCGAGUUUGUACUGGAGGGCUGGCCGUCCCGUAGUUCUCGGAUCGUCACCAUGUUGACGUAGUGACGAGUUGGUCGACCGUUCUGUUUUGGCAGCCAACCUGCCCUUUUGAAAAGGGAUUGGACGUGCCGUGAGUAGAGAGAGGCCGAGUUGUUCAGACCGCAUGGGUAGCCCUCCUCCGGGUUAGCAUCGAGCUUGACGAAACGUCCUGAGGGAGUUGAGGUUAUUGUCAGAGACGUUCUCAGCCGUUCGUGUGUAACGACACGAGUUGGCCGGUCGGAGUUGAAAAAAUCCGCUAGAGCGGCUUGGUCAGGCUGGCGCGAGAUCCCAUCUACUAGUUGGGAAGCUUCGAGUAGUUUGGAAUCAGCACGACCAUGUGCUUGGAGAAGAUCCGAGCAGUCGACCUCCUUCCCCUUGUAGCGUGGGAGUGGUGGUCGGGCGCUCGGUGCCGUCGUCCGAGUAGUCGGAGGCGACGUCAUCCCAGAUCGGAUCUGGGUUUCUUCCAAAACUGUGGUCGUGAGACCACCACCGCGCGUCGUCCACGUGAUCUGGCCGACAGUGAACGUGAGGCCUUCAGGUACGGCCGCGGAAGCUGGAACUAUUACCAUCUUUUUCGUCGGAGAAGUUGUGCGCACACCCCCUACCUGGCGCGCCACUGUCGACGAAAGCUGGUCGGCAGUCUACCUUGGGGUAUACCCGCGGUAGUAGUUUAUCGGUAGACGGUGCACAAACUACGAACUCGAUGGUGACGCAAGACACGGACAAGCUUUUUAUCCAGGUUCGGCCGCCGUGUUGGCGUAAUACCUACGUCCUGCGUUUGGUUGUAUUGAUUUGUGUUGAGAGAAUAACUUGCCCUAGGGGGGUCCCUUGCCCCUCCUUAUAUAGUCCGGAGGGCAGGGUUACAGAUCUGGAAACUAAUCCUAGUCGGUUACAAUUGCCAUAGAUAGUUCGACAUCAAUCCCUAUUCUAACCAACUAGAAUCUUGCUUGAUCUCCACGUCUUGUUUCCUUGCGCGAAACUCCAAGCUGUUGGAUCAAGCCUUGAGCUUAUCUCGUAAUGGGCCAAGACUCCUGGCCCAGGUCUAGCCGUAAGGGUAUAGGGGUUUAUCCCCCCACACAACUCAACGGCUAGUCGGAUGCCGUGCAGGCAUGCUUCGUAUUCGGCGACAUUGUUUGAGGCCGGAAAAAGGAUCCUAAGGACGUAUCGCAGUUUGUCCUUGUUAGGCGAUACGAAAAGAAUCCCCGCGCCGGCGCCGUUGAUGUUCAAGGAGCCAUCAAAGAACAUCGACCAGUGGUCGGAGACGUCAGGAACGGGAGGCUCGUUGAGAUCCGUCCACUCUGCAAUGAAAUCGACCAGGGCCUGAGACUUGACUAUAGUGCGGCUCUGGAAUUCCAGGGAGAAUGGGCAUAAUUCCAUUGCCCAUUUUACAAUUCUGCCGUUGGCAUCUUUAUUUCGCAGAAUGUCCCCAAGAGGGAAACUGGUGGUUACCGAGACUCGAUGGCCGUCGAAGUAGUGCUUUAGCUUCCUCGAUGUUAUUAGAAUGGUGUAUAUGAGCUUUUGUAUUUGUGGAUAUCUAGCCUUGGAUUCGUUUAGGACUUCGCUUAUGAAGUAAACGGGUCGCUGGACCUUGUAAACAUGUCCUGGCUCGUCCCGCUCGACCACUAUUGCCGUGGAAACAACCCUGUCGGUUGCGGCAAUGUAAAGGAGUAGGUCUUCAUUGGGCGGAGGUGCUGUAAGAACAGGCGGUGAAGUGAGGAAAGUCUUAAGCUGGGUGAACGCAGCGACGGCUUCCUCUGUCCAAGAAAAUUUCUCCGAUGCCUUCAAGAGUUUGAAGAAAGGGAGGCCUUUUUCUCCUAGUCUUGAGAUGAAGCGACUGAGUGCGGCCAUACAUCCGGUGAGUUUCUGGAUAUCCUUGACAUUUUUAGGUGGUCGCAUGUCAAGUACUGCUUUUACUUUUGAAGGAUUCGGGCGUAUGCCGUCGCGGCUGACGACGUUGCCAAGUAGUAGACCGGAAGGGAUGCCAAAGAUGCACUUUUUGUGGUUAAGCUUCCACUUGUACCGGUUUAGCGCCUUAAAGGUUCGGUCUAAGUUGUCAAUUAAGGUGCUUGCAUCCCUUGUUUUGACGACGAUGUCGUCUACAUAGGCCUCGACGAGGUCAUCACGAAUCUCGUCGUGGAGGCAUUGCUGGAUGGCCCUUUGAUAGGUGGCUCCGGUGUUUUUGAGUCCGAACGACAUGGUCGUGUAGCAGUAUGCGCCGAAAGGAGUAAUGAAAGACGUUUUUAUUUGAUCGUCUUCCUUUAGCGAGAUCUGGUGAUAACCAGAGUAGCAGUCUAGAAAAGAGAGGAGUUCGCAUCCGGCCGUUGAGUCGACCACCUCGUCGAUGCGAGGGAGACCAAAAGGAUCUUUAGGACAGUAUUUAUUGAGAUCAGUGUAGUCAACGCACAUUCUCCAUUCAUUAUUCUUUUUGCGUACAAGGACCGGAUUGGCGAGCCAAUCGGGAUGAUACACUUCUUUUAUGAAUCCGGCUGCUAGAAGCCGUGUUAUUUCUGUCCUAAUAGCCUCCUUUUUGUCACGAGCGCACCGUCGCAGCUUUUGCUUGAUUGGUCUUGCGGUCUUCGAGACAUUUAAGGAUUGCUCGAUCAGGUUUCGUGGGACGCCGGGCAUGUCUGCGGGUUUCCAUGCGAAAACGCUCACGUUGUCCCUUGGAAGCCUGACGAGCGCGUCUUCCUAUUUGGGGUCCAGAUUGGCCCCGAUGAGGGCCGUCUUCUCGGUGCUACCGUCGACCAGUUGUACCUCUUUAUACUCUUUGGAUUUUGAAUUCUUCCUGGCGGUUUCCUGCUCGGGUACUCGGAGCUGGUCGGGAGGAAGCUGUGCCGCUUGGGUUGCAGUUUGUGCCAUCUGGAUUGAGAGAUCAAUUGCUUCAGUGAUCUUGAAGCUCUCUUCCUCGCAAGUAUAUGCAGUGUAGACAUUGCCUCUGACGGUCAGGACGCCCUUCUCCGUAGGCAUCUUGAGGACCAGGUAUGAGUAGUGCGGGACCGCCAUAAAUUUUGUCAGCGAUGGUCGGCCCAGUAUAGCGUGGUAGGUCCCGUCGAAGUCGGCGACCACAAAGUUGACGAACUCUGUCCGAAAGUGGUCUGGCGUGCCGAAUUGGACAGGCAUUGUUAUCUGUCCGAGGGGUACUGAACUCUGGCCGGGCAGGACUCCCCGGAAUUGAGCGACGUAAGGUUUUAGCUGUGCCGGAGAUAGCUUGAGAGCGGGCAGGCUGUUACGGAAAAGGAUGUCAAUGGAGCUUCCUCCGUCCACAAGCACCCGCUCGAAUCUGAUGCUGUUGAUGCAAGGGUCCAGGAUUAGAGGGAAACGACCUGGCUCUGGGAUAGCGGCCCACUGAUCCUUCCUGCUGAAGGAGAUCUCUCUGUGUGACCACGGGGGGAAUUUCGGGUCUGCGAUCAGGUCAUCCGAGCUGUCUAUGUUGAGGCAGGCUCUUUUUAGGAGCUUUCUUUCUCGCUUAGAUUCGAUAGAGACCUUUCCCCCGAAGAUGGAGUGGACCACGUCGGUGGGACUGACAUACUGGUGUCGUGGGUCCCUGUCUUGGUCUUCGUCCUCAUCUUCGUGGUCGCGUCCGUCUUGCUUCCCAUUCUUCUUAGCGGAGUCGUCUUGGGUGGCCCGCCGUGUGUAGAUGUUUUUGAGGACGCGGCACUCUUCCAUGGUAUGGUUGGACUUUGGAUGCAGUUGGCACGGUCCCUUCAACGUUUUGUUGUAGUCUUCUUGGUAGUCCCGCCGCCCGUUGGGGCGUUUAACUGUAUUCACUUCGUGGUCAUGGUCGCGGGGGCGCUUUCCUCUAAAAUUGUCACGAUUGUCGCGCCGCCUAUCCCAACCUUCCCUGUGAUCACGGUUGUCGGGACGGCGGUGGCUCCUGUUGUCGAAACGACCGCGAUUAUCAUCUCGCCGGGGAGGCUGGUCGGGACCUCUCGCAUCAUCUCGAAUAAGUUUUUCUGCGUCGUCGGCGUCGGCGUAAUUUUUAGCCGUGGCGAGGAGCUCGGCCACGUUGUUGGCCUUUUGCGCAGCAGCUUGUUCCUCAGUGCUUCAUGGAAGCGCAGCCCCUUGAUGAAAGCAGAUAUGGUCUCGUCAUGGGAAAUCUUCGGGAUCUUAAGGCGCAUAUCCGAGAAUCGUCAGAUGUAAUCGCGCAGAGGCUCGUCUUUCCUGUCCCUUAUCCUUUCGAGGUCGUACUUGUUUCCAGGCUGCUCGCAUGUGGCGAUGAAGUUGUCGAUGAAAGCCUGACGCAGCUCCUCCCAAGUGUCGAAGGAGUCCUCGGGCAGGCCAAGGAGCCACUGGUGACCAGCCUGGUCGAGGACUACUAGGAAGUAGUUGGCCAUGACGUGCUCGUCUCCUGCUGCUGAUCGGACGGCGAUCUCAUAAAGAGUGAUCCAGUUUUCUGGAUUUUCCUUGUCGUCGUAUUUUUUGAGUUUCUCGAGCUUGAAGUUGCGGGGCCACACGACCUGGCGGAGGUGUGAGGAGAACUGCCUCCGGCCCGGGGGGGCAUGUGUUGCGUCAUAUUCGAUACGAUGCAGGUUUUCGUGAACUGCUCUAUCUGUGGCGCGCCUGUUGAUGCGGUCUCGAGCGUCUUUGGGAGGGAUGUUGUAUCGAAGGUCCCUGUGCUGGUUUACUUCCUGACCACGCCCAUGAUUCUGCUCGUGGCGACCGCCAGCAUCCCGACUGCCAUCGCCACGCCGUGAGUCUUUUCGAUGAUUGUCGGGGGAUCGGCUGCGGUGGUGCCUGCUGGGCUGCGGUGAGGUCCGGCUGCGGUGAGUCUGGUCGGAGGUAGCCUCCGUAUAGGAGACGGGUUGGACUCUUUUGAGCAGAGUGGCUGUCUGUCCCAUUGCGGCGAUCAGAUGUGCUCGAAUGCUGGUUCGGACGCCCUGGCACUCGGGAGUAUCAGGGAGCCGAUCUAAGUUGGCCUUGGCGACAGCCACGUUGGCGCUUGGCGUUUUGUGAACUGGCUGAUCCCCGACCAUGUCGAAAGCGUCGCUGAGAUUAUGCGGCGGGAUUUGACGUUCCUCGUCUGUGCGUCGUCGCGCGCGAUCGGCGUUACGCUGCUCGCAGAGGUGCCUCUGUUCGUCUGUUUCUCCAUCGACGACCGGCUCGUCGGCGCUGACAUUGAAAACAAUGUCUCCUCGGCGCGGCGGGAAGACCGGGAAACGAGGGAAGCCCGGGGGAUGUGAAGGCAAAUCCAGGUCGUAGUCCUCGUCUUCGGAGUUUAUGACCUCGGUUGGGACGGAACCAGUGCUCGAGUUUGUGCUGGAAGCCUGGCCGUCCCGUAGUUCUCAGAUCGUCACCAUGUUAACGUAGUGAUGAGUCGGUCGACCGUUCCGUUUUGGCAGCCAACCCGCCUUGUUGAAAAGGGAUUGGACGUGCCGUGAGUAGAGAGAGGCCGAGUUGUUCAGACCGCAAGGGUAAUCCUCCUCCGGGUUAGCUUCGAGCUUGAUGAAUCGUCCUGAGGGAGUUGAUGUUAUUGUCAGAGACGUUCUCAGCCGUUCGUGUGUAAUGACACGAGUUGGCCGGUGGGAGUUGAAAAAAUCCGCUAGAGCGGCUUGAUCAGGCUGACGCAAGAUCCCAUCUACUAGUUGGGAAGCUUCGAGUAUCUUGGAAUCAGCGCGAUCAAGUGCUUGGAGAAGAUCCGAGCAGUCGAUCUCCUUCCCCUUGUAGCGUGGGAGUGGUGGUCGGGCGCUCAGUGCCGUCAUCCGAGUUGUCGGAGGCGACGUCACCCCAGAUUGGAUCUGGGUUUCUUCCGAAACCGUGGUCGUGGGACCACUGCUGCACGUCGUCCACGUGAUCUGGCCGACAGUGAACGUGAGGCCUUCAGGCACGGCUGCGGAAGCUGGAACUAUGACCAUCUUGUUCGUCGGGAGAGCUGUACGCACACCCCCUACCUGGCGCGCCACUGUCGAUGAAAGCUAGUCAGCAGUCUACCUUGGGGUAUACCCACGGUAGUAGUUUGUCGGUAGACGGUGCGCAAACUACGAACUCGAUGGUGACGCAAGACACGGGCAAGCUUUUUAUCCAGGUUCGGUCGCCGAGUUGGCGUAAUACCUACGUCCUGCGUCUGGUUGUAUUGAUUUGUGUUUAGAGAAUCACUUGUCCUAGGGGGGUCCCUUGCCCCUCCUUAUAUAGUCCGGAGGGCAGGGUUAUAGAUCUGGAAACUAAUCCUAGUCGGUUACAAUUGCCAUAGAUAGUUCGAUAUCAAUUCCUAUUCUAACCGACUAGAAUCCUGCUUGAUCUCCACAUCUUGUUUCCUUGCACGAAACUCCAAGCUGUCGGAUCAAGCCUUGAGCUUGUCUCGUAAUGGGCCAAGCCUCCUGGCCCAAAUCUAGCCGUAAGGGUAUAGGGGUUUAUACCCCCACAGCAAGGUUGUUCCGGCGAUCCUGUUCGCGUCCAGGGAGAAGUAGCGAGCACAUGAGCAACUGGAGCACGAAAAGAACUUGAAACGGCCGCUAGAGAGGUGUGAUACCGACUGGAACACCGUGGCCACGGGAAGAGCUCCACGGCGGCGGUCCCGGCCGGAAUUGGAGAAGACAGAGAAGCUCCGGCGAUUGAGCAGGUCAGAGAAAGAGCGAGGGGGUGCGCUGAGCUCGCAAGGAGGUGGCGAAUGCUCUGGGUUGCUCAAUUUGGCUUGAGAGAGAUUGGGUGCGACGAAUUUGAGAGAAAAGCUCGUCGGGGUUCCUUGGUUGUGGACAGGGAAAUCGGGCGGCGUCGCCCACGCUGGCGCUCAAGGGGAGGAGGAAGCGAGCCCGGGGCGCCCACGUCGCCUGGCGUCGCAGGCAGGCAAGCAGGCUGCGUGCCUGCACGCGCGCGGCGGCCGUGCUGGACAGGGGGCCGGUGAUCCUCAUCGGAUCACUGUAGCUGACCCUUAUCCCCUCUUCUCUAUCCCUUUGCAAAAUUCGGCCAAAACUUGAACUCAAGCCAAAUUGCCACCAAAAUUAAAGUUGUGUAAAAUUUUAUAAGCUAGAAAUCAUAUUUUGGUGACCAGAGCUAAUUCUGAGUGGAACAUGGUGAAUUUGUCAAAACAGUUUGCAAUUCAAAUAAUAAUUCAAGGAAAUUCAAAUUUUUGAAUUGGGGACAAAACAGAGUUUCCAAAAUUACUUUUGAUUUUCCAUAGCAACUUGAAAAACUCCCAACAUGACAGUUGUUCAAAUUUUUGAGCUCUACAACUUUCAUGUUGGUCACUUUUCAAAAUUCCAAGUAGAUUUUGAAUUGGAGAUUCAAAUUGGAAAAGGGGACACUUUCUAGAAAUCUGUAUUUUCAAAAUUACUUUGAAUUUUGUAUUGAAACUUCAAAAACUCAAAACACCAAAGUUGUACAUCUCAACGAGAUCUACAACUUUGCUUUUGAACUCAACCUCAAAUUUUGCUUGGUUUUUAAAUUGUGCAAAAGGGGGCAAUUCUAGGGUUCAAAAAUCACGGUUUUCCCCCCUAAUCUUUCGGAAAUCUUUCACCCUAGGGUUUUAGCAACCAACACAAGCAUCCAAACACAAUAUAAACACACUUUAAUUCCCUAAGCACAUUCAUCCAAAUUAAACUUAUUUCAAGUUAAUGCAUCAGGGUGUGCUUAACAAAUAUGUGGUGCAAUGUUGAUGAUGACAUGAUCCAAAUUUUAGUAACCGUAACGUCAGGGAUGUUACAGUGUCCGAAGUAGAAUUAGGGGUACAAAGAUACCCACCUGAGUGGAAAGAAUGGACAUGUGUCCAACAGUGGAAUCAGGGGUACUUGCUGCCCAUUUGAAAAAAAGAGAGAAAAAAGAAAAAAAAUGAUAGCCCAUGGUCCCUCUAAUAAGCUACAUGCUAGUAAGAGAUGACAAACUUUUCAAAAAGGUCAAAGGUCUUGAUCUAGGAGUAUGACAUUCCUCUCCCUGGCUCCGAGCAUUGACAUAGAAAAAUGCAAAGUAAGUAUGCUAAAACUUUUAAAGCUCUACUUAUAUAUCUUUCGAGAAGAAAGCAAAUGCCUCAGUUUUAAUUUGCAGACUUAUAAAAAACUCCAGAACAAAGGUAAGACAGAAGAACUUGAGACAUAGUGCUUGACUUGAUCAUUCUGUUUUUCAAUCACUUAAGACCUUAGUGAUAACUUAAAAACCCUAUAGUAAAAGGCAUAAAAGUAACCCCUAUUUUCUUGAUGAUUUUAGCUUUGCUCAGGGACGAGCAAAGGUUAAGCUUGGGGGAGCUUGUUGACGGUCCUUCAUGCACACAUUUAACCAUCAACUAAUCAUGCAAAGGGACUUAUAUGCAACCAACACCUAGACUUAGGGUUUCAUCUGACAAAAUUCCACGAGUUUUGGUGUUUGUCUAUUUCUGCAGGGGGUUAUCAGGAAAUAUGGAAGAAAGGCCCACAUGUCGGGAUUACAUAGAGAUAUUAACGUGCCGCGCAAUUUUAUACCAUCUAGAAGACUCCAGAAGCCACGGGAACAAACGGGAAGGCGAUCGGGCUCGGAGGCAGGGCGCCCGCCCUACUCUCUUGGGCGCUCGCCCUGCUACAGUGCCCAAUCAGAGUCGUUUUCGCGGAUCGUGCUCCACCAACCUAUGGGAUCAUGGAAAACCGUGCGAUUAAUGUCGGUUUGAUCCAACGGCCCAGAUUCACUUGAGGGGACUAUAUAAGCAGACCCCCUGGCCCCUGGAGAACAUACCUCUUCUACAGAAUCAAAGUUAGGGUUUCAAUUUUUCAUCCAAGUAGAGAGGAUCCCUCUAGUUCAUCUAGUUCUACCUCUAGUUCAUCUAGUUCUAGUUCUAGUUCAUCUAGUUCUAGUUCCUCUAGUUCUAGUUCUAGUUAGUUCUAGUUGUAAUCUAGAAAAUAGGGAGAGAGAAGAGGAGAGCGGAGGAGGAGGAGCCGGAUCUGUCGGAUCUUCCUCAACAUUGUUCUUUUGCAGCAACUGGUUCGUUCUUCAUCGUUCUCCAGGUUCUUCAAUCCAUAAUUCCUGAGUUCUAAAAUUACUUUUAUUUACAUUCAAGUUAUUUAUUGGAUUCCCGCUUGCAUCAAGUGCUCUAAUCAUUGCAACAUUAGAGUAGUAAUUAAUAGAUUAGACGUCGUGUUUAGUCUUGCAAUUACCUAGAAUUGCACCCAAUCCUGCGGAUUGUUGUGGUAGCCCUAGGGUAGUGACAGCCCUAACGGUCGACGUAUUCCACCUCGUUCGGAUCGGUGUUUGUAGGACCGUAGUUAGAGCUUCGUAGCCCCCUCCUCAUCUCUUUCUGUGGUUAGUGUUCUGAUGUCCCGAAAUAAAUAAUCUUUGAAGUAAUUCUUGAUUCUUAGAUCAACUAGAGAACUCUCUGGAAACUUCCUCUCUUCCCACCAAAAAUUAUUCUAUAGUUAUCCUUGGGCAAUCUUGAAUCUUAAUUAGUACACUCACGUUCCCUGUGGAAAAUCGAUACUCUGGAAUACUCUCGGGUGAAAGCUACAUCGGUAUCCGUGCGCUUGCGGAUUUUUCUGCUUGCGUUUAAAAUACCCAACAGACACCAUCAACAAGAAGUGACCAUUGCCGUCUACUAAAGUUGUCAAGCUGACUGAAGAAUGUAGCGCAGCUAUACUCAAUGAGCUGCCCGAGAAGAAGCAAGAUCUUGGGUGCCCCACAAUCUCUUGCUCAAUUGGGGCCCAGCAAUUCGACUACGCCCUAUGUGAUUUGGGGGCGAGUGUGAGCAUCAUGCCGAAAUCAGUCUUUGAUAGGACGAACAUCACCAACUUGGAGCCAACCACCAUGACACUCCAGUUGGCAGACUCGUCAGUCCGGUACCCGGUAGGGAUUGCUCAAGACAUCCAUGUCAAGAUCAGAGGAUACUAUGUUCUAGUGGAUUUUGUGGUGCUCGACAUGGAGCUCACUAAAGAAACACCACUAAUCCUAGGAAGACCAUUCUUGAGUACGGUUGGAGUACAGAUUGAUGUUGGGGCUGGAGAAAUCCGCUUCAGUAUUAAUGGCCAAGAAGAGAAGUUCGAGUCUAGGCAACGCCGUCAGCAAGAGUGCAACAUGAUAAGCAUCCUCUAUGGGCCAAACCGCCGAGGCAUUAGGCAGGUUGAGAUGAGCCUCAACUUAUUAAAAUACAAAAAUAUCUAAGAAAAAGUCGGAGCUAAAAGAAAAGGUGGCUCCUAAGAAAAAUAAUAAGGAGCAGAAAAAGAAAAUAGCUCCUAAAAAGAAUGAAAAGAGGGACGAAGUCCCCAAGCCUUUGUUGACGGUCCUUAAGUAUCAAAUUUAAUUAUCAAAUAAACAAAGAAAAGGAUCCAAAUGCAACCGACAUGCAGACUUAGGGUUUUAUCUGACAGAAUUCCAUGAGUUUGGUGUUUGUCUAUUUCUGCAGGGGGUUAUCAGGAAAUACGGAAGAAAGGCCCACACGUCGGGUUUACAUAGAGAUAUUAACGUGCCGUGCAAUUUUCUUUCAUCUAGAAGAAUCCAGAAGCCAAGGGAACGAAUGGGAAGCCGAGAGGGCUCAGGGACAGGGCGCCCGCCCUACUCCCUAGGGCGCCCGCCCAGCUACAGUGUCCAAUUCGGACCCGUUUUGCGGAUCACGCUCCACCGACCUAAAGGAUCAAGGAUAACCGUUCAAUCAAUGUCGGUUUGAUCCGACGGCCCAGAUUCCUCUGAAAAGACUAUAUAAGCAAGGUCCCCUAGCCCCUGGAGAUCAUACCUCUUCUACAGAAUCAAAGCUAGGGUUUCCAUUCUUCAUCCAAGUAGAGAGGAUCCCUCUAGUUCAUCUAGUUCUAGUUCUAGUUCAUCUAGUUCUAGUUCCUCUAGUUCUAGUUCAAGUUCGUUCUAGUUGUAAUCUAGAAAAUAGGGUGAGAGAAGAGGAGAGCGGAGGAGGAGCCGAAUCUGUCAAAUCUUCCUCAACAUUAUACUUUUGCUGCAACUGGUUCGUUCUUCAUCGUUCUCCAAGUUCUUCAAUUCAUAAUUCCUGAGUUCUUUAAUUACUUUUAUUUACAUUCAAGUUAUUUAUUGGAUUCCCACUUGCAUCAAGUGCUCUAAUCUUUGCAACAUUACAGUAGCAAUUAAUAGAUUAGACGUGGUGUUUAGUCUUGCAAUUACCUAGAAUUGCACACAAUCCUACGGAUUGUUGUGGUAGCCCUAGGGUAGUGACAGCCCUAACGGUCGACAUAUUCCACCUCGUUCGGAUCGGUGUUUGUAGGACCGUAGUCAGAGCUUCCUAGCCCCCUUCUCAUCUCUUUCUGUGGUUAGUGUUCUGAUGUCCCGAAAUAAAUAAUCUUUGAAGUAAUUCUUGAUUCUUAGAUCAACUAGAGAACUCUCAGGAAACUUCCUCUCUUCCCACCAAAAAUUAUUAUAUAGUUAUCCCUGGGCGAUCUUGAAUCUUAAUUAGUACACUCACAUUUCCUGUGGAAAAUCGAUACUCUGGAAUACUCCCGGGUGAAAGCUACAUCGGUAUCCGUGCACUUGCGGAUUUUUCUGUUUGCGUUUAAAAUACCCAACAGACAUCAUCAACAAGAAGCGACCAUUGCCGUCUACUAAAGUUGUCAAGUUGACAGAAGAAUAUAGCGCAGCUAUACUCAAUGAGCUGCCCGAGAAGAAGCAGGAUCCUGGGUGCCCCACACUCUCUUGCUCAAUUGGGGCCCAGCAAUUCGACUACGCCCUAUGUGAUUUCGGGGCGAGUGUGAGCGUCAUGCCGAAAUCAGUCUUUGAUAGGACGAACUUCACCAACUUGGAGCCAACCACCAUGAUACUCCAGUUGGCAGACUCGUGAGUCCGGUACCCGGCAGGGAUUGCUCAAGACAUCCUUGUCAAGAUCAGAGGAUACUAUGUUCUAGUGGAUUUUGUGGUGCUCGACAUGGAGCUCACUAAAGAAACACCACUAAUCCUAGGAAGACCAUUCUUGAGUACGGCUAGAGCACAGAUUGAUGUUGGGGCUGGAGAAAUCCGCUUCAGUAUUAAUGGCCAAGAAGAGAAGUUCGAGUUUAGGCCAUGCCAUCAGCAAGAGUGCAACAUGAUACGCAUCCUCUAGGGGCCAAACCGCCGAGGCAUUAGGCAGGUUGAGAUCUAGCCUCAACUAAUUAAAAUACAAAAAUAUCUAAGAAAAAGCCAGACCUAAAAGAAAAGGUGGCUCCUAAGAAAAAUAAUAAGGAGCAGAAAAAGAAAAUAGCUCCUAAAAAGAAUGAAAAGAGGGACGAAGUCCCCAAGCCUUUGUUGACAGUCCUUAAGUAUCAAAUUUAUUUAUCAAAUAAACAAAGAAAAGGAUCCAAAUGCAACCGACAUCCAGACUUAGGGUUUUAUCUGACAGAAUUCCACGAGUUUGGUGUUUGUCUAUUUCUGCAGGGGGUUAUCAGGAAAUACGGAAGAAAGGCCCACACGUCGGGUUUACAUAGAGAUAUUAAUGUGCCGUGCAAUUUUCUAUCAUCUAGAAGACUCCAGAAGCCAAGAGAACGAACGGGAAGCCGAGAGGGCUCAGGGACAGGGCGCCCGCCCUACUCCCUAGGGCGCCCGCCCAGCUACAGUGUCCAAUUCGGACCCGUUUUGCGUAUCACGCUCCACCGACCUAAAGGAUCAAGGAUAACCGUUCAAUCAAUAUCGGUUUGAUCCGACGGCCCAGAUUCAUCUGAAAAGACUAUAUAAGCAAGGUCCCCUGGCCCCUGGAGAUGAUACCCCUUCUACAGAAUCAAAGCUAGGGUUUCAAUUCUUCAUCCAAGUAGAGAGGAUCCCUCUAGUUCAUCUAGUUCUAGUUCUAGUUCAUCUAGUUCUAGUUCCUCUAGUUCUAGUUCUAGUUUGUUCUAGUUGUAAUCUAGAAAAUAGGGAGAGAGAAGAGGAGAGCGGAGGAGGAGCCGGAUCUGUCGGAUCUUCCUCAACAUUAUACUUUUGCUGCAACUAGUUCGUUCUUCACCGUUCUCCAAGUUCUUCAGUUCAUAAUUCCUGAGUUCUUUAAUUACUUUUAUUUACAUUCAAGUUAUUUAUUGGAUUCCCGCUUGCAUCAAUUGCUCUAGUCUUUAUAACACUAGGGUAGUAAUUAAUAGAUUAGACAUGGUGUUUAGUCUUGCAAUUAUCUGGAAUUGCACCCAAUCCUGCGGAUUGUUGUGGUAGCCCUAGGGUAGUGACAUCCCUAACGGUCGACGUAUUCCACCUCGUUCGGAUCGGUGUUCUGAUGGUUAGUGUUCUGAUGUCCCGAAAUAAAUAAUCUUUGAAAUAAUUCUUGAUUCUUAGAUCAAGUAGAGAACUCUCAGGAAACUUCCUCUCUUCUCACCAAAAAUAAUUAUAUAGUUAUCCUUGGGCGAUCUUGAGUCUUAAUUAGUACACUCACGUUCCCUGUGGAAAAUCGAUACUCUGAAAUACUCCCGGGUGAAAGCUACAUCGGUAUCCAUGCGCUUGCAGAUUUUUCUGUUUGCGUAUAAAAUACCCAACAAGCUUUCUGGCGCCGUUGCCGGGGAACGGUAGCUCUGCUAGUUUCGAACCAAGUCGUCCGUGUAUCCUUUUUCUUUUCCUUUUUUUACCACACUCACCUUACCAUUUUCACUACACCACAUGGAUUUCACUCCAAGCAUUAAUGAGCAUGGAAUUUAUUUCAUAGCCACUUCAUUUACUCCAUGUUCAUAUGCAACAUGUUCCCAAUCUUUUGGUCUCUCCAACAUCACCACAUUCAAGAUCUCCAACCCCCUCUUCCUUUCUAUCUACAAAAACUUUAUAAGGGCGGUUGUCGAUGCAUAUGUUUAUAAUAAAUAUUGCAGAUCUGGUUGAGUUGAUCUUGAUAUAGGUCAGCGUUGGCAGGGAAACCACUUCGCUGACAUAAAUUGAUGGUUUCCCAAUGACAAGCUUAGUGUCCUAAAAUAAGCACUGAUCAGAUCGUAACAUGAGCUUUUAAUUAUUUGCAAAAUUACCUUGUGUAUUUAUCAUAUAAGGAUAAUUGUAAAAAAAAAUUCCUUCGAGUAUUCUUGUCACUAACCUUUCCAAGAUUGGAGCAAGAAGAUCGGAUGAAUGACAAGCACAAGGUAUGUCCAACCAAUCAUCAUACAACAUUGAUCUAAAUUCAUCCAAACUUGAAUUUUGCAAAAUUCAAGCUUAGGGGAGUACUUUACAUCAAAACAUCCUUUGCCAUGUUAUUAUGUUGGUUGUCCCUACCUUUGAGACAUGCUCAAUUUUUUAAAAUACUAAUCACACUACUUCAUCUCCACUUGAGUAGAUCUCUAUAAAUGCUCUCAUGCUACCUUUAUUUGCUUUAGUAUAUGUCUAGAUCUGGAGUAGUUUCAUUUAUCUCUUAAUUAAGCAUGGUGCUUAGUUAGGAAUGUUGAUCUUAUGUCCAAGGGAUUUUAAAUUAAGCAUGGUGCUUAGGUUAAAAUGCCCUCCUAAAUCAAAUUAGACAUGGUGUCUAGGUUGAUCUUUGAGCCGAUAGUAUGCUAUAGUCGAUAUUGGAUAUUUUGUUGGACUAACCCCUGCAGGAAAACUUUCAAUAUCGACCUGGGAAGUCCUGGGAUAAACUCACAUUGGAGACAAAGAGAGAGACACAUAAAGUUUAACAAUUUACCCAAGGAAGGCAUAGCUCACAAGAGAUGAUCCAUGGAGGGUGCCACAAACACGAUGCAUAACCGCUAAGAAAGCAAAGCUUCCACAAGGUGAAACUGUAUCAUCAUUCUUCAAGUAAGGUAACAUCUUAAGGUACUUGACUAUCACUUUUAUAAGUUUCUCCUUGGUUCUGGCGUUCACAUGAAUAAAAGAUACAAACAUGUAUGAUUUACAACUCUAGACUAACCAACCCAAUCAAUUCAAUAUGUUUAGUCCUUCCACCUUUGUGAUCCCACACUCCUAAUCAUAUGAGCUAAAAUGUCGCACACUCAUUCUUUGGAAGAUAUAUUAAAAAAACAUAAGUAUAGAUAGAUUAUCUUUCCAUUAGGUUGAGUGAUCUGAUCUGACAAAUGUUUUAAAUGCUACACUCAUGAUCUUAUUAUCCAUCAACUUUGUCUUGCUCACUAAGCUUAAGGAUUGAGAAGAACAAAUACACUUUUGGUUCUGUUGGUGUUUUCCACCAACAGGGCCCAUGCACUUGAUCUCUGCCUUGUCUCUAUGAGCAGGUACACUUCGAGCAAAAUAUGAAGGAGUUUUACAACUCCCAGACUCCACCAAGUGAAGAACCUGGAUCUACGAGCACAAGCACACUGGAGAUACUGGACACUCAGGCAAUCACUGCCCUGAGAUGCUUGAGGACGUAAACUACAUAAACAACAACAACUACUACAACCGUCCUCAACAAAAUCAAGGUUGGAAUCAACGGAGGCCAUUCCUGAACACCUUGGGAGCUGUCAUCUAUGCUAGUGCUGCCAAGAUCAGUUUCUACAUCAAGAGGAGGAAGGAGACGUUUUCCUUCAAGAACAAGACUACACAAAUCUUAGAGCAAUCCCGACAUGAACCAAGGAAGAGGACCAACAGGAGGAACAGGAACAAGCAAAUAUGGACCGAGUCAGCUAAGAUGGUCACUACAGUUCAAGGAGGUCAAGAUCGUCGAUUUAAGUCACCGUUCCUGACCAAAAAGGACGACCCAAGUAUGCCAAGCAUCUAGUGCUCCGUUAAUGGAUACAUCUUCUAGAAGAUGCUUUGCUACAUCGGGUCAGGUGUCAACAUAAUGGCUGCAGUCACCUAUCAGCUCCUGUUCGGAACCAUGCCCCUAAAACCGACAUACAUUCACCUCCAGAUGGAAGAUCAGACAUUCCGAAAGGUUGAAGACGAGUAUGAUCCACCCAUCAUCCUUAGAAGACCAUUCCUCAGCACCGUUAAAGCAAUCAUCUACAUUGGAACCGGAGAAGUCCACAUGAACUUCCCCUCUGAGAAGGUACGCCGCUAUUUUACUGACCUUAACUAUAUAGUUGAAGACUCUAAGCAGGUCAGGACAAGAAGAAGACGAUGCAACCGCAACCAGAGAAGGAAAAUUAUCAAGGACGGAUGAGCAGACUACGAAGGAGAAGUAGUAAGGUCUGAAGACAUACAGCUUGAACAGAACUGUCCUGAGGAAACCGUAGCACCAAGUCAGGUGUGGAGAGAGAAGAUAGUUAUACAUGAAGAGCAGGCGCCGACGGAACCACUGACUACGCCAUCCAGUAAAUCUCAGGACAAUUGAGAAAACGGAGAGUCCCGUUCGGAGGACUUAAAAACACCAAAUGCCUUGCCAAGAGGUAAACUUGGUAAUUAUCCUUUUCCUUUCAAUUAUUUUAAAAUAGUUUGCUUAGUUAAUCAGGUUCAUAUAAUUUUGAAAAGGAAAUAAAAAUGUUAAAAAUAGUAAGCCCCAUGUGAGUAUGCUCAUGGCAUGAAACCCAUAAGUACAUUCAUUGUGGUGGUAUAAAAAUGAAAUAAAUAUAUUCCUAUCCUAUAAAAAUAAAAAUACAAAAAUAAAUUUAUGAUCCUACGAAAGAGAGUAACAUUUAUUUAGGAGGUCAACAUGAUAACGGCUAAGAGAUUUUAUGCUAACACUUAACCAGUUCCACAAAGCUUUGUUGUCUAUUUGAGCUCCACAGAAUUCAAGGAUCAAAGAAGACUAGCAGACGGAGGACAUCCUAAAUCGCUGUCAGGGUGCUGCCGACAUUCAAACACACCUCCGCACAUGCUAGCUACAUCAGCAGAAAUUACGUCAAAAUCCAGCUUGGGGGAGAGCACCACCAUUUAUCUAGCUAAGUAUUCUACUCAUGUUUAUACUUUACUCUAAUAAUAAAAAGAUACAUAGUCAUAUAAACCCAAAUAAAGAUUUUGUGCUUAUAUAUAUAUAUAUCUUUGCUUAGUUUGCUAAAUAAAUAAAUAAAUAAAGUUUGCUACGAACCCUCAUGAUAAGCUCUCACAUGGAAAUGAUGAAUAGUCGCUCUGCCAUGACUAGUUUUCAAAAUUGAAAUCUCUCUCAAGUUUAGGCAUGACUGUUAUUAAUUAAGAUUUGCUCUAAACCUGAACUUGUGGGAAGAGUACUUGAUCCAAAGUCUAAGUCGUUAACGGAUAUGAUAUGGGAAGGUUGAGUUGUUGUUUAUCUGUUCCUAGAGAUGCUAGAAUUCUGGAGAAUUUUAUCUUUGAAAAUCAUUAAAAUAACACAUGAUAAGUUCCUGUAUGAUGAGAGUUUAAAUACCUACCACAGCCAUAUAUACAUGCUUGCUAGACUUUGAGCCACACAUUUACUUUUUACUACUUAUGAGCAUUGAGUGUGGUCAAGCUGUGUAGACCCUUAGGAGCUUGUCAUGUGGUUAAAAUCAAGAUUCACUUGCACGUUCACUCACACAUGCUGCUUCUACUCCGGAAGUACGCAUCCACUUGUAUCCACCCAUUUCCAUCUCCAGAACCACCCAAAAAUAUUCUACUCCUAAUCCGGAAGAGAAUAGCCAAAAACAUUCUCCUAUUUCUGUUUUCCCCUGUGAAAUAAAUGCUUGAGAUAUUUUGGUUACUACCACUUGCUACAUUAUUCUAGGAGGGUGAGUGCUCUGAAAAAAAUACGAGGAAAUAAAAAGAGGCAAGUGCCCGGAACCUCAAAAGAAAAGAAAAAGUGAGACGAGAGGUAAAAAUGGACAAGUGUCCGACAGUAGAAUUAAGGGUACAAGAUACCCACCUGAGAGAAAAGAAAAAAAGUAUAGAGCAUCUCAUUCUCCUCAAAAAGUUUCAAAAGAGCAAGAAAGGUAUGUAUCUCCUCAAAAGAGCACAAGUAGAAUUAGACUUUCACCAUUGUUAUCACCAUUCAUUCGCCACACAUGCACAUCUUGAUUUGACUUAUUGACUUGUUCUUCUAGGUCCAUGGUUUGACUAUGCAAAAAAUGUCUUGUAAGUAUGUAUUAGCUGUCUGUCACCUAUGAGCUCCAGAUAUCAAAACCUUAUUAGAGUAGGGUGAGAGAGAAGGCAAUGCCAAUAUGCCUUAUACCACAAAAACUAUAUACUUUGAGAGAAGGCAUAUACCAUCACUGCCUUGGUAAGGAUCCAGAAAUACCACAAAAGAGAGAUCUGAGAGAGUCAUACAAGGAAUCUCUGAGUUUUAUUUGAAAAUCUGCAAAAACUCCAGAGUUAUAGCUGAUCAAGAAUAAGAGACAUGGCACUUGCUAGACCGUUCUAUCUUUUAACUGCUCCAGACACAAGUGACGGUUACAAGUCCCAUGGUAAAAGGUAAAACCAGUAAGUUUUAAGUCUUGACAGUUUACCCUAACUCGGAGAUGAGAUCUUGUUUAAACGCAUGUGUACCUUUAAGGCAUGAAACCACAUCAGAAACUCUUGAGUUCAUCUUUGCUCAAGGACGAGCGAAGGUUAAGCUUGGCGGAGCUUGUUGACGGUCCUUAAUGCUCACAUUUAACCGUCAACUAAUCAUGGAAAAGGACUUAUAUGCAACCAACACCUAUAAUUAGGGUUUUAUCUGACAGAAUUCCACGAGUUUUGGUGUUUCUCUAUUUCUACAGGGGGUUAUCAGGAAAUACGGAAGAAAGGCCCACAUGUCGGGUUUACAUAGAGAUAUUAACGUGCCGCGCAAUUUUCUAUCAUAUAAAAGACUCCAGAAGCCACGGGAACGAACGGGAAGCCGAGAGGGAUCAAGGACAGGUCGCCCGCCCUACUCCGUAGGGCGCCCGCCCAGCUACAGUGUCCAAUUCGGACCCAUUUUGCGGAUCACGCUCCACCGACCUAAAGGAUCAAGGAUAACCGUUCAAUCAAUGUUGGUUUGAUCCGACGGCCCAGAUUCAUCUGAAAAGACUAUAAAAGCAAGGUCCCCUGGCCCCUGGAGAUCAUACCUCUUCUACAGAAUCAAAGCUAGGGUUUCAAUUCUUCAUCCUAGUAGAGAGGAUCCCUCUAGUUUAUCUAGUUCUAGUUCUAGUUCAUCUAGUUCUAGUUCGUUCUAGUUGUAAUCUAGAAAAUAGGGAGAGAGAAGAGGAGAGUAGAGGAGCCGGAUCUGUCAGAUCUUCCCAAACAUUAUACUUUUGCUGCAACUGGUUCGUUCUUCAUCGUUCUCCAAGUUCUUCAAUUCAUAAUUCCUGAGUUCUUUAAUUACUUUUAUUUACAUUCAAGUUAUUUAUUGGAUUCCCGCUUGCAUCAAGUGCUCUACUCUUUAUAAUGCUAGGGUAGUAAUUAAUAGAUUAGACUUGGUGUUUAGUCUUGCAAUUACCUGGAAUUGCACCCAAUCCUGCGGAUUGUUGUGGUAGCCCUAGGGUAGUGACAGCCCUAACGGUCGAUGUAUUCCACCUCGUUCGGAUCAGUGUUUGUAGGACCGUAGUCAGAGCUUCCUAGCCCCCUUCUCAUCUCUUUCUAUGGUUAGUGUUCUGAUGUCCCGAAAUAAAUAAUCUUUGAAGUAAUUCUUGAUUCUUAGAUCAACUAGAGAACUCUUAGGAAACUUCCUCUCUUCCCACCAAAAAUAAUUAUAUAGUUAUCCUUGGGCGAUCUUGAGUCAUAAUUAGUACAAUCACGUUCCCUGUGGAAAAUCGAUACUCUGGAAUACUCCCGGGUGAAAGCUACAUCGGUAUGCGUGCGCAUGCAGAUUUUUCUGUUUGCGUUUAAAAUACCCAACACCUCUCGACCCUAAUUCAUUAUUCAUCAGGGAGAAGAAGCCUCUUAUCAAGCCCUAGAGCCACCACAUCAAUUAGAUCUCUAGAUUAGCAUAGCUACAUAGGAUUAGAACUAGAAGGAGUCAAUCUUCGAUUGGUUUCCGGAUCUGUCAAGAGGAUUCUUGGUAAUUCUCUAUUGUUCUUCAAUUGUUCAUCAUUGUUCUUCAAUAUUAUGAAUAUGACUUUGUUCUACUUCAAUAUAUUGGUUAUGACUUUGCUCUACUUGUUUAUAUUCGCAAUUAUAUUGUUCUUAGUUUAUCAUAGUUAUAUAUUUGGCUUAGUUAGAUUGGAAUUAUAUACAUGUUUAGGAUCGUAUAGCGUUUAUCCAUUGGAUCCAUGGGUAAAUGAUAGAUAUUGUGUAUGCGUGGUGCCUAUACCCUAUUUAUCUACGAUUGUACCCUAUAUGCUAGAUCACGGGGUAGUUCGUGGUAGUGACAGCUCCAUCAAUUCUUAUAUAGUCCCCCUCUCGUGUAUUGGGCUGGCAGAGCAAUAUUAUUAUAGGGGAGUGAUUGCGAUGUUUCUCAUAUUUCUUGAUAAUAUCACUAUGCAUGGGCGUAGUCCUGUCUCACAAUGAUUGAUAAGUAUAAUUGCACUAACUAUGAUAUGUAGACUAUAUAGUUGAGAAUAACUUAGGAAAUAUUCUUGUAGUUCUUCCUAAUACCAUGCUAAUGACUUGCUAGAAUAUCUAAUUGAGGUGCUUAUCGUAUUUAUUAUGUGGCUAAGUUAUGCUGAUCAGACUAAUUAUCUUUGUCACUAUUCAUUACUUUAUAUAUCCUUUAUGUGACACUUAUCCCUGUACAAAAGAGAUAGAUAAAUGUUCUCAAUUAUACAUGCAAUGAUAGAUACUUAAUCUUAUAUUCCAUUCUAUAAUCAACAUUGAUGGUUACUAAUCCCUUCCCAGUGGUAAAAAUAUAAAUAACGAUACCUGGAAUACUUUCCGGUUGAAAUGCUACAUCGGUAUUAAUCUGUGCGCUUGUAGAUCUCAUUUGUUAUUUAUUUAGAAGAGCAAUUGCAUAUUUCAAUACCGCGCCUCUUAUGUCAUGCUGGGGAUGACAACUUAGCUUAAGUGGCAUGAGGGAUAGGUUUGGCAUUUUUGGCGUCGUUAUUAGAAUUAGAAAACUAAGUCUACUUUUCGUAGUGACGUUAAGAAUGCCCAAAAAUCAUUUUUGGCGCCGUUGCCGGGGAAGGUUGAUUACUAAUCAGGAAUGAAUAUAGAAUUUCAAGUCAUCAUUCGCAUCACUAAUAUGAUUGAGCUUAUCAAUUCUCUCAUACAGUUUUACCCCGAUAUUUUUCUAUUUUAUCUUAUGCAGGGUAAUGUAUGAAUAGAAGACAUCUUCUAGGAAAUUUUGUUGACAAUCCCGAAGCAUUAUUCAGAAAAACAAGAGCCAAGCUCAAGAAGAGAUCAUCAACACUUCAGCAUGAAGCUUCAUCCAAUCAAGAAGAUCACCGGAACUUGUCUUCAGAGUACGAAGCCAUGGCGAACAAAUCGAUCCGUGAGUUCUCAGCUCCCACUACGGACAACAUCCGCACUGGACCUACUGCAGAGAUCGAUGGCAACUUUGAGCUCAAACCUGGACUUAUCAACAUGGUGCAAUCCAACUAGUUCUGUGGGAAGGCACAUGAAGAUGCUAGUGCUCAUCUCCAACACUUUCUGGAGAUUUGCAGCACAUUCAAAAUAUCAGGAGUCCCCAGAGAUGCUAUACUACUUCGCCUCUUCCCAUUCUCACUGUUAGGGAGAGCGAAGGAGUGGUUCUACGCUACAAAGGAGAAGAAUACUACGUGGGCACUCUGCUCCACGAACUUUCUAGCUAACUUCUUUCCCAUGGGCAAGACCAAUGCUCUCCGUGGGAAAAUUACAAGUUUUCAGCAACAACAUGAUGAAUCUAUUCCAGAAGCAUGGGAGCGCUUCCAAGACUACAUCCUAGAAUGUCCCCAUCAUGGAAUGGAGAGUUGGCUACUGAUGUAGACGUUUUAUCAUGGGCUCGGCAACAGUGCCUGAGAAACCAUGGAUGCUGCAGCUGGAGGACCAUUCCUAUCACUUACUAUAUCACAAGCCACAGCUCUUGUGGAGAAGAUGGCGUCCAACCAAAGCUGGAAUGAAGAGAGGACCCAGACACGCAAGAGAGGUGGAGGUAUACAUCAGCUCAAGGAGGUAGACAUGCUGUGUGCAAAGCUAGACCUGCUCAUGAAGAAGCUCGAUGAUAGAGCUGGAGAUAAGAAAGAAGUUAUGCACAUCUACGAUUCUCACAUGACUUGUGAGGAGUGUGGAGAUACUGGACACUCAGGCAAUCACUGCCCUGAGAAGCUUGAGGAUGUGAACUACAUCAACAACAACUACUACUACUACAACUGUCCUCAACAAAAUCAAGGUUGGAAUCAACAAAGACCUAACUACUCAGGUAAUUAUAAAGGUAACAAUUCUUACAAUAAUACUAAUAAUUUUCCACAUCUGAGAGAGUUAGUGUCUAAUCAAGGAAAGCUAAUGGAUAACUUAUUUAAGAAACUGAUAUCUAAUGAUAAAAUGCUAGAAAAUAUAAAUAACGGAAUGGAUAAUUUCUCCACUGCCAUCAAGAAUCAAAUUAGCUUUAAUAAAAUGAUUGAAUCUCAGUUAAAUCGAAUAGCUGCUGCUGUUCCUGCUACUAACCCCGGUAUACCAUCACAACCGGAAGAAUUAGAAUCUGUAAAUGUUGUAGACAUGUUUGAUGCAGGUAACUAUUGGAGUAACCCCGUCACUGAAGUAACUACUGACCUUCUGCCGCUCAAGCGAGGCGAUCCAGGACGCCCCGUCAUCCCGAUCUCCAUCAACAUGGUGGACUUCCCAGAAGUACUUUGCGACUUUGGCUCUAGUGUCAACAUUAUGCCCAGGGUACUCUAUGAAAAAUUCUUUACAUAUCCUUUAUUAGAAACAACCAUGUGUUUGCAGUUUGCAGAUCAUUCGUUAAGUUUCCUAAAGGGAAUAUUGAAUAAACUUUGCGUCCGAGUUGGUACCUUGUACGCCCCAGAGACUUCGUGGUGAUAGAGACCGGUAAUGAUGAGAGGGCACCCAUCAUCUUAGGGAGGCCAUUCUUAAACACCUCGGGAGCUGUCAUCUACGCUAGUGCUGCCAAGAUCAGUUUCUACAUCAAAGGGAGGAAGGAGACGUUUUCCUUCAAGAACAAAACUACACAAAUCCCAGAGCAAUCCCGACAUGAACCAAGGAAGAGGACCAACCGAAGGAAUAGGAACAAGCAAGUGUGGACCGAGUCAGCUAAGAUGGUCACUGCAGUUUGAGGAGGUCAAGAUCAUCGACUUAAGUCACCGUUUCUGACCAAGAAGGACGACUCAGGAAUGCCAAGCAUCUAUUGCUCCAUAAAUGGAUACAACUUCUACAAGAUGACUUGCGACACCGGAUCAGGCAUCAACAUAAUGGCCGCAGUCACCUAUCGGCUCUUGUUCGGAACCAUGCCCCUAAAACCAACAUACAUUCAGCUCCAGAUGGCAAAUCAGACAUUUCGAGAGGUUAAAGGUAUAGUAACUGAUGUCCCUAUCAAAAUAGUCGAUCAUUUUGUCUACACAGACUUUCAGAUUAUUGACAUGGUAGAAGAUGAGUAUGAUCCACCCAUCAUCCUUGGAAGACCGUUCCUCAGCACCGUUAAAGCAAUUAUCUACAUUGGAACUAGAGAAGUUCAAAUGGACUUCCCCUCAGAGAAGGUACGCCGCUAUUUUACUGAUCCUAAUUAUAUCGUUGAAGACUCUAAGCAGGUCAGGACAAGAAGAAAACGACGCAACCGCAACCAGAGGAGGGAAAUCAUCAAGGACGGAUGGGCAAACUAUGAAGGAGAAGUAGUAAGGUCUGAGGACAUACAGCUUGAACAAGAUUAUUCUGAGAAGACCGUAGCACCGAGUCAGAUGUGGAAAGAGAAGAUAACUAUACAUGAAGAGGAGGCGCCGCUGGAAGCACCGACUGCGCCACCCAACGAACCCCAGGACAACUGAGAAAACGGAGAGUCCUGUUCGGAGGACAUAAAAACACCGAACGCCUUGCCAAGAGGUAAACUUGGUAGUUAUCCUUUCCCUUUCAAUUAUUUUAAAAUAGUUUGUUUAGUUAAUUAUGUCCAUACUAUCCUAAAAAGAAAAUAAAAAUGUUAAAAAACAGUAAGCCCCAUGUGAGUAUACGAGUGGCAUGAAACCCAUAAGUACAUUCACUGUGGUGGCAUAUAAAAUAAAAUAAAUAUUUCUUUUCUGCUCUAUAAAACAAAAAUAUAAAAAUAGAGAGUAACAUUUAUUGAGGAUGCUCAACUUGAUAAAGGCUAGAUAUUUAUGCUAACACCUAAUCAGUUCCACACAGCUUUGUUGUCUAUUUGAGCUCCACAGAAUUUAAGAAUCAAAAAGACUAGCAGACGGAGGACAUUCUAAUCGCUGUCAGGAUACUGCCGACUUUCAAAUACACCUCUGCCACCUGCUAGCUACAUCAGAAGAAAUUACGUCAAAAUUCAGCUUGGGGGGAGCACCCCUAUUUAUCUCGCUAAGUAUUUCUAUCUAUCUUUAUACUUAUACUAUAUUAAAAUAUAAAUAUACAUAACUAUGGAAAACCAAAUAAAGAUUUUAUGCUUAUAUAUAUGUAUCUUUUGCUUAGUGUGUUUAAUAAAUAAAAAAAGUGGCUAGGCUAAACUGAAUCUUAAUAAUAAAACUCUAGCACCGAUGUGAUGAAUAGUUGCUCUACCUAAUUUUCAAAUUUGAGUUUUCUCUCAAGUUUAGACAUAACUGUUAUAAUUUAAAGCUUGCUCUAAGCCUGAACUUGUGGGAAGAGAACUUGAUCUGAAGUCUAAGUUGUUAACGAAUAUGAUAUGGGAAGGUUGAGCUGCUGUUUAUCUGUUCCUAGAGAUGCUAGAAUUCUGGAGAAUUUUAUCUUUUAAAAAUCUUUAAAAUAUUGCAUGAUGAGUUCCUGUAUGAUGAGAGUUUAAAUUCCUACCACAGCCAUAUAUACAUGCUUGCUAGACUUUGAGCCACACAUUUACUUUUUACUGCUUAUGAGCAUUGAGUGUGGACAAGCUGUGUAGACCCUUAGGAGCUUGUCAUGUGGUUAAAAUCAAGAUUCGCUUGCACGUUCACUCACACAUGCUGCUUCUACUCCGGAAGUACGCAUCCACAUAUAUCCACUCAUUUCCAUCUCUAGAACCACCCAAAAAUAUUCUACUCCUAAUCCGGGAGAGAAUAGCCAAAAACAUUUCUGUUUUCAAGUGUGAAAUAAAUGCUCGAGUUAUCUUGGUUACUACCACUUGCUAUAUUAUUUCAGAAGAUGAGUGCUCUAAAAAAAAAGAUACGAGGAAAUAAAAAGGGGUACCAAAUACCCACCUGAGAGGAAAAGAAAAAUAAAAACUGAAGCAUCUCAUUCUCCUCACAAAGUUUCAAAAAGCAAGGAAGGUAUGUAUCCCCUCAAAGAGCAAAAGUAGAAUUAGACUUUCACCAUUGUCAUCACCAUACACCAUUCAUUCGCCACACAUGCACAUCUUGAUUUGACUUAUUGACUUAUUUCUUUGGAUCCAUGGUUUGACUAUACAAUAAAUGUCUUGUAAGUAUGUAUACUUUAUCUCCCACCUAUGAGCUCCAGAUAUUAAAGCUUUGUUAGAGUAGGAUGAGAGAGAAGGCAAUAUCACAAUGCCUUAUACCAUAAAUGCUAUAUACUUUGAGAGAAGGCAUAUACCAUUAAUGCCUUGGUAAGGAUCCAGAAAUACCACAAAAGAGAGAUCUGAGAGAGUCAUACAAGGAAUCUCUGAGUUUUAUUUGAAAAUCUGCAAAAAAAACUCCAGAGCUAGAGGUGAUCAAGAAUAAGAGACAUGACACUUGACUAGACUGUUCGAUCUUUUAACUACUCAAGACGGAAGUGACAGUUACAAGUCCCAUGGUGAAAGGUAAAAUGAUUAAGUUUUAAGUCUUGACAGUUUACUCUAACUCAGAGAUGAGACCUUAUUUAAAAGCAUGUGUACCGUCAACUUUUAAAGGCAUUACAACAACUUCUGAUCCAUCGCUGAGAUUAUCCUUGCUCAG
rnacentral:lncRNA from 1 species